AUCCUAAACACCUCAAACACCUUAAACAAAUAGAAGAUGUAACUAUUAACAACUUAUUCUAAGAAUUUGAUUUUCUAAUUCGUACCCGUCCAAGUCUGAUUCUCAGAAUUUUAACUCUUAAUCUAAAAAUCAGAAUGACACAAUAUUUUACAGUACUAUUCAAGACAUUCAUCGGUAUCUCCCAUAAAAUUUUUAAGAGGAUUUGACACCAAAAACAUUUUCAAACUAUUUUUUUCUUGAUAAAUUCAAAAUUGUCUCAUAGUGCCUUAAUUGAACAGUAUGGGUUUUGAGAUUUUUAUAAAAUUAUAUAUUAAUUAGAAAAUUAUGAAAUUAAAACCAGAAAUACUAGACGCAGAUAUUAACCUCCAUUUAAAAUGUUAGAAUUUUUCGAAUUCAUUUGGUAUUGCAAAUAAUUUUGUAAAUUUGGUCGUUUUGCUGGAAUUGUAGUUCUUCAAUGCAACAAUGUUAGUUUUGAAAAUCCAUAUAAAAUCGAAAAUAAAGUCAAAUCUUAUGAAAAAAAAUUUAUUCAAUAAGCUUUGCAUGUCUACUUUAAGAAAGAUAGGUUCUUGUUAAAAAUGAUUCAUAAAUAUAUGUUUUAUUUCGGGAUAUUCAUAAUGUCUAGAAUUGUUCAGUGUGUUUAUUGUGUUAGAGAUUAACUAACAUGACUCAACAAUAAAGCGCACUAAACAUAACUUAACACAUCCUAAAUCAUACCUAAUGGUUUGUAACCAUUUAAAAUCAUGCCAAUAAAACCCUGAGUAGAGCACAACGAUAGGAAAUCAUGUAGAGCAUAGAGAGAGUAAAACUUACCAACCAUUAAGAUUCUCUCUCCUAAGCAAAAGUUUGAAUUGUAGGGCAAUGAGUAAAAGAGUAUUAAGCAAUAAAGAGAAUAAAAAAAAUGUUGUGGAUUUAAGGUUAUGGAAGAGAGAAAAUGUAUACAUUUAUAGGGAACCUUAGGAAAUCCUAUUAUCUUUUGGAAAGAAUAAGUUUUUUUCCAAAAUUACCCCAUGAAUGCUAAUUAUGGAUUUAAUAAUCCUGAUUAAUAAGGGUGAUAAUGUGAUUUAUGAAUUCUAAUAAAACAAAAUUUUCAUAAUUUAAGAUUAUGGAAAUUUGGCGUUACAUUAAAGCCGCUCCCAUUCUUGGUCUAUAUAGUAUGGUCUUCCCCUAUGAGUUCUAUCUAGAAAACAUUUAUUGUUUAUUUGGACAUGAACAUUACAAUCCUUGAUUUUGAGCAGAGUUGAAAGUGGAUUAUAUAAAAGAAACUAGAAAGGGCAUACAAACUUUUGCUUGUAAAGUUUUUUUCUAUAUAUUUUUAAAUUAUUCAACUCUCAUUUCACACCAAUCUAAGAUUUUAUUUGAGGUUGAGGUUGAAACUCUAUAAGUGACUUAUUUCAUAAGUUUUGACAAUAAUAGCACAUGGUAAAUUUUUUAAAGCUACUUGUUUUAUAAGUUUCUUUAUUUUAAUAGCAAAGUUUAAAAGUAGGUAGGAGUUACUUUUUGUUAGCAGCUUAUUCCACUGCACAUUUUUUAAGUUCCUAUUACAACAUUAAUAUUUUAACAAAAAAUUAUAUCUUAUUUUUUUAUAAACCCUAAUAUAUAAAUAAACGACAAUUUAAACUUAUGUUUAUUUCAAUCAUUAUAUAAUAAAACAAUAGUUUUAUCAUAAAAUUUACUAAAUGCAUGCACUAUUUCAAACUCAUAUCAACAGUGACAACAUAGUUUUCACACCAAGCUAAUUUUUUAAUUAACAACUUAUUUCAUUCAUCUCCGCAAUCUCAAAUUAGUCCUAAUGGUCUAUCUUGAAUAUCUUUUCCUUUGUAAUUUUAAUUUUAAUUUUUUUUGCAUAUGUAGUUCGUCUCUGCAUUCCCAAAUUGGUCCUAAGGGUUUAUCUUGAAUAUCUUUUUCUUUGUGGUUUUAAUUUCAUUUAUUAUUUAACAAAAAUAAAAGAAGAGAAAAUAAAACUCUAAAUGAGUGCCAUAACUGAAUGGCUUUGCACCAGUACAGUUGGUUUUAUUUUCUGCUUACUAGUGAUAAAUACAUAUCGUUUUCAUGGGAAAGUGGGUACUACUACUCUAAGGAAUAUAAAUUCACUUUUCUUUUCUAGAAAAAGAAUGGUUUUAAAGAUUUUCACCUGCAAUUAAUAUUGCUUUAAGAUGCAAUAUCUAUUUUCUUUUCUAUUUUUGGAUGCAUGCCACAUUACUUUGGUAAGCUCCUUUUGUUUAUUGAUUUAUUUGUUAUAGUGUGUGUGUGUGUGUGUGUUUUCUUUGGCUAAAUGUUGAUGGUUACCAUGAAUUGUCUAUGACAAAGGUACUUUCUGUUUGGAUUAUUGCUCUUUAAAGCAUAUUGAUUUAUUUAUUUAUAAUAAACAUAUUUUUUAUUAAUAAAAUAUUUGAGAUAUUUGUUAGAUAUCUUAAUUGCAUAAAUAUUUUGUAUAAAGUCCGUUUAAUAAUAUUGUAUAUAUUUAUGUGAUCAUCAUAUGGAUUCACAGAAAAAUAUAAAUACAAAUUAUCUUAUGAUUAAAUAAUUAAGUUCGUAGUUGAUAAAUAAAGUUGGACGCUCUAUUUAUGUUUAGACUGAAAUGCUAUCUAAGCAACCCAAGAGGGGGGUGAAUUGAUUUUCUAAAAAAUAUAGAAUGCUUGAACAAAACUCAAUGCAAAUCUUAAACAAAUUUAAAAUAAUAAUAAAUAAACCAACUAAAAUCUAAACUAAAAUGUAAAGAGAUAAGGGAAGAGAGAUUCAUACACAAAGAUUUUUACGUAAUUCGGCCAACCUUACCUACGUCCACGCUCCAAGGUCGCUAGGCUUGAGGAUUUCACUAAUCAAACCUCUAAGGCUUCAAGAACACUUACAAUUGACUUCACAGGUGUUAAUCAACCUUUACACCAAGAGAUUAUUCCCAAUCUGUUAACCCAAGUGUAUCCCAACACUUACAAUCACUCAAAACAAAUAUUACAAAUAUGUUUUUCUCUCACACAAUAUAUAUGAUUACAAAUGAAUGCUCAAGGUGUGAAUAAAUGAAAUAAGAACAAAUUUAAGGCUCAAUGAAUGUUGUAUUCUUAAUUACAAGCCCAAUGAUAACUCUUUGAUCAACCCUUAUUUGAAUUUAAUUGAGCCAUUUUCUAGUUAGAGUUGAAAAGUAGCCAUUGUUGACUUUUUGAAUGAAAUCGGAUCACCAUUAACUGCUAUCGGUUAACUGUUUUGACUAAUCCAAGUGACCAUUGAGCAGAAUUUCAAGUAAUCGGUUAACUGUUUGGAAUUAUCGGUUAGCUGUUAAUUUCCAGAAACCUGCAAAACAAAUUUGGUUUGACCGUUCUUGCUAAACGGUUCAAGGUUAGCAUGUAGUUCCAUUUUGAAAAUUAUCGGUUAGUCGUUUAUUUCCAGAAACAUGUAAAAAAAAAUUUGGCUUGACUGUUUAAGUUAAACGGUUCAAGAUAAAAAAUUAAUGCCUCUCUGGAAAUUAUCGGUUAACCAUUUGUAGUAAAUGGUUCACCGUUAUUUUCCAAAAUCAUCAUUUUUACAAAAUUUCGCAGAGAAUGAUUUUCUGAUUAAAUUUAAUGAUUAUCCAUAUUUCAUGAACAUAUCUAGAAAUAUUAUACGACUUUUAAGAAAUUGUUUAUUAAUGAAAGCUCCAACAUUUUUUUAAUAAAAAACAUAUAAAGUUUGUUAUCGUCAAAAUCAAUAUUAUAGACAUACACAUAUUAACAUAGACCGCAGUAAAUUCAUUGAAUGAUUUGUCUUAAUCACGUAUGAAUUUACUAGUGUAGUUUAACUGCAUUGAACUAAGUCACAUAUGAAAUUUAAUUAACCUUAAAAUAAAUGUCAGACUUAUUAAAUCUCAUAGGCAUUGAUUUUAUUGUAAUCUCAAUCUUGAGUUAAUUAUAGUUUUAUGUUUGUGAUUGUCAUUUCAUUUGAAGUUGCCAAUGUGUGUAACAUACAUUUGUAGUAAAGAUUACUUGGUAUCUUGGUGGAAGCAAUUAUGAGCAAUGAGAUUAUAGGUUAACAAUAUAGAAUUUUUACAACACAUCUUUUGAUGGGUUUUCAGUACUUGAUCAUAGAAUUCUAUAGCCAAAAUGUGUCAACAUAAUUAGUAUGUUAAAAAUGAUCAAUAGAGAAAGCCAAUAAGUGUCAAUUUAAUUGGGGAUGUAGUACAAAUGAUUGUUCAGUAAAGAAAUCAAUAUGCCAUGGGUUGAAUUAUUAUUCGAGAACACUAUCCUAGAUAGAAUACAUCUAUGGAAGCCAGUUUCAAUCGUUUAGUGGAGUAGAUUUGGAAUCAAAUAAUUGGGCUAGUUCAAUUACAAGCCUAAAUAUUGUAGCCACUAUUGUAUGUACCCAUAUGGUCCCUAGGUUAGCUCAUUUACUUGAUUACACCACUAUUCGAUUGAUAAGCAAGAUAACUAGCUAUUUGAGUUAAAAGUCUAAAUAUAGCACUUGGUAGGAGGCUCCAUUUAAUAUGCUUGUGUGUAAGGGGCCUUAUGUUAUUUUAUAAGGUGGGCCCCUAUAACAGGAACAAGUAACUCCACUUUUGGGCUUUAUCUUAUUUUUAAUUUAAAUCAAAUAUUUUAAUUUAAUAGAAUUAAAAAAGGAGAUAAAUAAAAAGCCUAGGGUUUUCACUAAUAGGGAUAUAAAAAGGACUUGUUUCUCUAUAAAAAGGGACAUAAGAGCCAUAAUAUAUAGAUCAGAGAAAAAAAAAAUUCUCUCUAACUUUGAGAGGAAAAUUUUCUCUUGCUAGUUGCUGUGAGCUGUGAUAAAGGUGCUCACAUGUUAAGUGCAAAUUAAACUUGAGUCUUAACUUGGAAGAUCGUUGGUGAUAGAUCGUGAUCUUAUAAGAUUGGUGGUGACAAAUCGUGAUUUAGGAGUCUGAAUAUGUUCUACGAAAAAGCAAAAGUAUGAUUUCUAGAUUAUGGUAAUUUUAUAUAUUGUAUGAGAAUUGCAAUCCAAAUAUUUUCGUUGCAAAAUUAUUUUUAAACCAAAGAUUGGUAUCAGAGCAAUCUCAUAUUAAUAUAUAGAGUUACUGUAUGAAAACAAUCUCUUGUAUUAUAUGUAUAAGAUGAGUGACACUAAUUUUAUAUAUCAUUUCAUUAUGUGAAUGACUAACAUAAUGCGAUAAUAUCAUUUGAUUGUUGUAUGACUAACAUAGUACCACAUAUAUAUUAUAAAAUUUCUCAUACUUGAGAGGGCAAAUUUAAUAGUUAUUGUUGGUUUUUAUGGUCUUCAUUUUAUUUUUACCCUUUCUUCAUUAAAGUACAAUCCUUGUUUUUGGAAAUUCAUUUUGUUAACACUAAAUACUUGUCUUAAAUACUAUGGUUAGCCCAAAAAGCUUAAUUGUAAUAGCCUGAGCUCAACAACCAAGUAGAUAUUGUUCGCUUUGAGUACACAAUCUAUCACAGUUUUGUGGCCUUUGUAACCCAAAAGGCGUCUAUUUAGUUAGGAGAGCUCAAGACUUAUAAACUAGUGUAGGAACUCUCUUGCUAACGAUGUGGGAUGUUAUAUACCUCCCCCUUAAGGACCUUGCAUCCUCGUGAGGGCCACUAGAAAUAGAAUGGGAUGAAAUCAUAUCAUUAAUAUAUCCAUCCACACAUCGGAUUGUGAGUCGUCUCUGAUACCACAAAUGUUAUACCCUAAAUUUACCCAAGAAUCUCAAGAGAAAUUUAGAAUGAAACCUCAUAACAUUAAUCUUAUUAUUAUUAUUAUCAAAUAAAAUCGAUAUUGUCUAUAGUCAAACAUAGUCUCUAAAACAAUAAAUAACACAAUAAUUCUCCAAAAUAAAAUCCAGCUCUAAGUAAUAACCAAAGUAGUUACAAAAUAUUCAUCAAGAAAACGUCAAAUUUUUUCAGCUAACAAAUCCACAUCUCUAAAAUCAAUCUGCAAAAUGUUGGAGAGAAUGGGUGAACUGUUAGCUUAGUAAGCAAACUAAUGCAUAAGUUUAUUAAUAAAGAUAAAGUAUAUAAUAAUCAUUAUGAUGUACCAUAAAUUAGAAAACAGUAAUCAUUUCAUAGUCUAAUAAAUAUGUACGGUAAAACUCAGAAUCAGUUAAAUCAUAAGGUAAUAAUCAUUUUUAAUAAAUAAUUAUUUAAGAGAUCAUUUAUUAAUAAAACCUUUCAUUUGUUCAAUUUACUCACGUAGUGCCACCUGUACUCUCGAUGACCCAAUCAGUAGUUCAGUAUAUCACUUGUACUCCCAGUGACUUGGUCAGUAAUUCAAUCGGGAUAUUUUAUCAUGUAACAAUCGUCAAUAGGUGCACACAAUACAACUAAUUGUUCAGUCAUAUCAGUGUCUUAACUACGCACAAUGAGCCAAAACCUUAAAUACAGUUUUCAAUUUUUCAAUAUCAAUCAUUCAGUAAAAUUUUGGUAAAAUACUCUUAUGGGACAUUGAAUCAGCAAAGCUUUACAAAUAUUUUUAAGAAAAAAAAAUUAUGAAAAGACAAGUCUUUUAAAAUCAUUUUGAAAACAAAUUUAAGAAAACAUUUUAAAUAAGUUUUAACCAAUAUAUAACUUAUUAUCAUAAACUAUAAUAGUAAAAUUACUUCAAAAUCAUGAAAUGCCAUUCCAUAUGAACAACAUUACUCUUUUUCUUUUAAGUAUUUACAUAUAUACUUGUAAAAAAUAUUAUGCAUAAAUUUACUUACUUCGAUCCGAAGCAAUCAACAAUAUCUAAUCACUUGAGCUCACUCUUGGUUGUUGGGUUUGCUUAUUGCUAUAGGUAUCAAUGUGCAAGUUUACACAAUUAAUAUAAUGAUGAGUAUUCAGAUUGUCUCCAUAGGGAUUGAUGUCAUAGGAUUUGCUACAACAAUCUUAACAGUACAAUUUCAAUUUAAUUAAGAUAAAAUGAUUGAUGAAACUAAAAACCUAACAAAAUUAAAAAUGCAAUAAACAGAAUACAAUAAAGAAAAUUCUUAAAUCGAACGCAAAGAUAAACUCAAUGGGAAAGGAGUAGUUGAGUGGUUAAACUCAUUUAAUGGUAUUGACUAUUUUUCCACAUACAGUACUGUUGCUACAACAUCUACUACAAUAUUGGGUAAAAUCUCUCAUGUAUCCUCAGAUGUCACUUGUUGAAUAUCUUAUAUCUAAAUGCAACCUAACAGUGACCAAUUAUUAUGUUAAUAUUUGAUAUAACAUUAUGCGUUCUAGGUUCCAAUUGCCUAAUAAGGUGAAUUCCUAUGUCUGGUUCUUCACUAAUCUUAGAUUAAGAAUGACCCUUUGAAAUCGAGAUUAACUCAACUUGAGAAACUCAAUCUAAAAUCAAGUAUUGUCUUGAUCUAUUCCAUUAAGUCAGACCUUUUUUAGGCUGCUUCUUAGCUAGUAACCACUAAAUUGGUGGUCAGCUAAAAUAAGAUUUGCAAUAAGUAAAAUCAAGAUAAAAUGUUGCAACAAAUCCAAAGCAACACAAAUAUAUCAGUCAAAUAACCAUUAAGCUUGUUUAACACUUAACCAGAACAAAGUUUAGAUCAUGAUGAAAGUUAAAAUAGUAACUAUUGUAAUAUUUUCAAAUGCUAUUGGUGUCAAUGUGCAAGUGUACAUAACAAGUAAUAUAAUGAUGAAAUCUUUAAUGUUGCAGUGAUUGUUCUAAAUUAAAAUAAGAUAAUUGAUGAAACUAAAUAACUAAUUAAAAUAAAAUGCAAUAAUUAAAAAUGUAAUAAACAAAAUUCUCACGUCAAACACAAGUAAAACCAAUGGGAAUUGUGUAGUUGAGUGAUUAAACUCUCUUAAUGGUUUUGACUAUUUAUUCUAAUUUUAGGUUUAGUUGCUGCAGCAUCUGUUACAAACACUGGGUAGGAUCCUCAUGUAUCCUCAGUUGUCGUAUGUUGGAUGUCUUAUAUCUAUAUGCAAAUUAACAUUGACAAAUUGUUAUGCCAACAUAAGAUAUAGCAUUACACUCUUCGGUGCUAAUUACCCUACGAGGUGAAUCUCUAUGUUUAAUUUAUCACUAAUUUUAGAUUAAGCAUGAUCUUUUUGGAAUCAAGUAAAACUCAACUUAGGAAACCCAAUCUAAAAUCAAUUAUUGCUUUGAUAUAUUCCACUAAGAUAGGCCCUUUUGUGGCUCUUUCUUAGCGAGAAUCAUUAAAUGGAUAGUCAGCCGAAAUAAUGAAUAGAAAUAAGUAUUAUAAAAACAAAUGGCUAUAGCAAACAUGCAGCAAUACAUCCAAUCAGUCAAUGAACCAUUAAAUUUGUUUAUCACUCAACAACGAAUAAGUUUAGUUGAUGGCUUGCAAAAGAAAAAUAACAGAGGUUCAACCAUCAAAUAUAUUCUCAUGAUUAAAGAGUAAACGAGAAAACAAGAAAAAAAUAAAAAAGAUUGGUCCCCCGCCUGAUCUUGCAAAUUUUCUCGUCAAGUGCAACCUUAAAUCUUGCUCUUGAAUUCUGUUUUUCUCUUGUUUCUUUUCGCUUUUUGUUCUUGGGUUGACGGCUUCUUCAUUUCCUUUGUGUGUGUGCCUUUUUUAUAGUUGAAAAUUACGGAAAUCAGAAGUCUAGGGCUCGUAUCCUCCAGAUUAGGAAACUCCAUAUUGUAAUAUGUUAAGUAUGUCGCCCAAAAUCUUUUCUAUCAAUGCUCCAGAAUUCCCACAACAAUAGUUACUACAACAAUGGUUACAUCAUCUGCACUAUUCCAGACUUGUUUCAAUUCUUCUGCAGCCAUGUUCAUUUCUUCUUUUUGCAAGCCCAUUACAACGGCAUCCUUUCCUUGAAAUUCGAGCUUCCAAUUACCUACAAUUAUGCAUAAGAUUUAAGCAUACAAUUAUUCGAAUUCAUACAAACUUUAUUACAAUAAAACUAAAAUGGAUGUCGAUGCAAACUAUUAUUAAAAUGCAACAAAACACAUCUUUGACUCUCUAAAUAAUCUUGAUUUAAGUCUAAAACUGACAUGAUAACUUUCAUUUCAUAGAGUUAUCAGUAACCAUAAUUAUUUUUUCCAUCAAAUACAUUCCAAUAAAGAAAAGAAAACAAGAAAAUAAAGAUAAGGAAUUAUUCUCGCUUGAUCUUGCAAUCUCUUUUUUUUUUCUCUUUGAAUCCCCUGAUGUAGCCCUCGAAUCUUUCUUAUUCUCUGUUUUCUUUUGUUUUCUCUAUUGUUUUUCUUGAGUGACAUCUCUUUUUUUUUGUUAUGCGUGCUCUUUUUUACAUCUUGGAAUCAAGGCAACCAAAAGCGUGUGGCCAUGUGCCUCUCAUUUUUGGAAACCUUAGAUUGUAAUCUUUUUGUGUCUAUAGCUGCUUUGUUAGUUAACAUGCGCGAAAUCUUAUCUGCAGUUGCUGCAGGAUUUCUACAGCAACGACUACAGCACCUUCUCUGUUCCAGACUUGUUUUAGUUCUUUUUAAGCCAAGUUCUUUAUUAUCUCUGCAAGUCUGUUGUUGCAGCAUUCCAUCUAUGAAACUUGAGCUUUUUGUUCACCUACAAUCAUGCACAUAAUUAGAGUACAAAGUGAUUUAAAACACAAUUAAUUUAUUAAAAUUAAACUUAAAUAGAUGCUUAUGUAAAAUGUAACUAAAUAAUGAAAUAAAAAUAUAUCACUUACUCUCUAAGUAAUAUUGAUUUAAAUGUGGAAAUGCCAUGAUAAUUCUCAUUCCAUAGAGUUACCAUUGACCUAUAAUUAUCAAGACAAGAUUCUCAUUAAUAUCUUAUUCAAUUCUGACCUUGAGGAAAACCCAAAAAAAUCCUUAAACCAUUAACUCUUACUUAAGUACAUCAAUUCACCUGACAAUAGUUGACUACUUUAUAGGAGCUGAUUUCUAAUAAGCUAUAAAUAUGUAAGAAAAUCAUAAAUAUUGCAAAGAGAUACUGUAAACAUGUUGGCAUUCAAUAUAAAAUAUCAUAAGAUUAAUAAGAGUUCAUAAACAUCUCCAAAACCUAAUUUCCUAUAAAAACAUCAAAAUUAUCCAGUGGUGAUAUAAACAGAGGACUACUGAAUUCAUAACUUUAGUUAUACAUGUUCAAAAAUGGUGAUUCAAGUUUUAAUAAUUAGAAAAAAAAUAUGGAAUCAGAAUUAAAAUUGGGUUACUUCAAAUUAUAGAAAAUAGUUUCUAGGAUUACAGCAGCCCAACUCUAUGAUUUUUUAAUGAUUUUUAAAUAAAGCCAAAAAUUAUGAACUUAAAUAUAUAGAAACUAGACAUAUACACGUACGAAAAUAAAAAUUCCCAGAAUUUUCAAAAGUCGUUUGAGUUACUAAAUAAAUUAUAGAAGUGAGAACUACUGUUAAAAAUCAUAAUUUUGAAGCACUAAUGUUCUGACAUCGAAAAAUCAUUACAAUUAAUGUACAAUGAGUUUUUGAAAAUAAACAUAUGGAUAGAAAGAUAAAGAUGUCUAGUUUAAUAAACUAUAUGAGAUACAAUGAAAAAUAGCAACCGUAUAACAUUCAAUAUAUAUUGUUCACAAUUUUCAAGAUAACAUAGCAGCACUACAUCCACUCAAUAGCAAUAUAAAAUCAAUACAUAAUCAUGCUUUCACAAUUUUAUCAAUAUAACACAAACAAAACCAUUCAACCAAUCACAUAAAAUCAUAAAUAAAACCAAAAGUUUAAAAGAUCAUAAAUUCUUGCCUAUCUUUAAAACAAAAUCAAAACUCAAGAGCUUUUUUAAUAGAAAAGAGAAAAACAAUCAAAAUCUUCUUCUCUUCCUAUUCUAAGAACACAGGGGUUUACUCUUGUGUUUGUUGUUGUAUUCUUUUUUUCACUAGCCUCCAUGGUUUUGAGAAACAAAGUAACGUAAGAGGAGUUUUUAUAAAGUCAAGCCUUUUAAUACGCAAGGAAUUUAUUUCCUUUUGUAAUAAGUAUUUAAUAAAUUGGUAAAUCAAAUAAAUAAAAAUUAAAAAUUAAAACAUCCUCAAAUAUCAUUAGCCUAAAAUACUAUAUUCUAUAAAAUGCAUAUUAAAUAAAAUAAUAAUAGAACAAAAUAUAGGUGUUACAAUUUUUCCCAUCCUUAAAAGAAAUUUCGUCCACAAAAUUUACAACCUCGCCUUAUUCCUCAAAAUGCUGAGGGUACUUUUCCUUAAUCUCUAUCUCUCGUUCCCAAGCAGGUUCUUCUAUAGAAUAACUCACCCAAUAAAUUUUCAGUAAAGGUUAACUCUUUUCCUUAAAACUUGUUCCUUCUUGUCUAGGAUCUUUAUCGAUUGCUCACCGUAUGACAUAUCAUUCGAGAUUUGAAUAGGUGGGUAAUGCUAAACAUGAUCAACAAUGUACUUCUUCAACAUUGACAUAUGAAAUACACCGUGAAGCCUCGAAAGGCUCAAUGGCAAAGCCACUCAAUAUGUCAUUGUGCUAAUCUUCUCUACAAUCUAAAAAGGCAUAAUAAACCUAGGACUAAGUUUACCUCUCUUUCCAAAACGAAAGACUCUUUUCCAAGAUGAGACUUCCAAGAAAACAUAAUCCCUAACUUGGAACUGCAUAUCACAUCUACGUCGAUCAACAUAACUCUUCUACCUACUUUAAGCUAUACGGAGACACUUUUAUAUCAACUUAAUUUUGUCAACAGUAAUUUGAACCGACUUUACACUUUUGCCCAUAGAAAGUUUCAAAAGGCGCCAUGCCUAUGCUAUAAUGGAAGCUACUACCAUAGGCAAACUCUACUAAAGGCAAAAGUUCUUAAUUACCUCCUAAAUCCAAUACAAAAGCUCGCAACAUGUCUUUAAAAGUUUGGAUAGUCCUUUCUGACUGUCCAUCGGUCAGAGGAUGAAAGAUAGUGAUGAACCUUAACUUAAUCUCAAAUGGCUUUUACAAACCACCUAAAAAACUAGAGGUGAAUCAUAGAUCUCAAUUUGAGACAAUGUACGCUGGCACUCUAUGUAAUCUCACUAUCUCAUUUAUAAAAAGUUACCCCAGUUUCCAAAAGGUGCCAAUACUCUUCAUUGGUAAAAAGUGCACUGAUUUAGUUAAUCGAUCCACAAUAACUCAUAUCGAGUUGCAAUCUUUCCUCAAGCAAGGCAAUCCACUCACAAAAUCUAUAGUGAUGUGCUCCCACUUCUACUUUGGACUAGAAAGUGACUAAAGAGAUCUCAUUGGUUUUUGAUGCUCAAUCUUCACUUGCUGACACACUAAGCAUUUGGAAAAAUAAUCAGCAAUAUCACUUUUUAUAUUCAUCUACCAGAAAUUUUUCUUUAAUUUUUAAUACAUUUUAGUCUUCUGGGAUGAAACACUAAAAUUGAGUCAUGGCCCUCUUGCAUAGUCUCAUUUUUCAACUCAUUUUCUGCUAGUACACGGUCCCUAUCUAAACCACAGAACACCAUUAUCAUCAAGUCUGAGCUCAGAGCGUCCAGCCUUCAUUGCCUCGAAAAUUUUUCUGAAUUGUGGAUCCUCACUUUAUGCAGCCUUAAUUCUAUCAAUCGAGGUAGGCUAAGCCUUCAAAUAAGAUAAACCUCAAUUUGCCAUGUAAAAUAAGUUCAAUCCCUAUCUUCUUCAAAUCCUCCAAUAUGUGACCCUGAGUAGUAAUCAUACGUGCCAAUCAACCCAAUGACUUCCUACUAAGAGCAUUAAGCAAUCAUAAUCUUUAACUAGCUCUAACCAUCUCUUUUGCCUUAAGCUCAGUUCUUUCGGGGUGAACAAGUAUUUUAAACUCUUGCAAUCUAUUUAGAUUUCAUGAGUUUCACCAUAAAGAUAAUGUCUACAAAUCUUUAAAGCAAAGACCACAGUAGCUAACUCUAAGUCAUGAAUUAGAUAAUUCUGUUUAUAACUCUUUAAUUGUCACGAUGCAUGUACAACUACUUUACCAUGUUGCAUUAAUACAUAUCGUAGUCUAUUUUUAGAAGCAUCAUAUCCGUCCAUAUCAUAUGUGCUGGGUGAAGAGCUAAGACUAUGCUUGGGCCGAGGUUAGGCUAUAAAUGACAUAACCGCCAUCGCUAGAAAAAAUUGUCAAAACAAGAGUAGAAACUAGUCUAUUCUUUAAUACUUGAAAGCUCUUUUCACAUUCAUAACUCCAUUCAAACUUAGAAUUCUUCCUAGUUAAUGGAUUUGUAAGAUUAGAGAAUAUAUUCACGAUAUGUCUAUAAUAACCAACCAAACAUAUCUAAUAUUAGCAACAUUAAUUGGUUUUGGCUAAUUUACCAAAGCCUCAACCUUGGCUAGAUCAACAAAGAUGCCUUCCUUAAUAACAACAUGCCCUAAAAAAAUUACUCAGUCAAGUCAGAACUCAUACUUCUUGAACUUUGCAUAGAGCUUCCUUUCUUGAAGUGUUUGAAAAACCGCCCUUAAAUAUUCUUCAUGCUCCUCUAUGGUUUUAGAGUACACCGAAAUGUCAUCGAUGAAAACAAUGACAAAUCGAUCAAAAAAAGGUUGGAAGACUCUAUUCAUCAAGUCUAUAAAUCUUGUUAGAGCAUUAGUUAACCCAAAAGGCAUCUCAAGAAAUUCAUAAUACCUAUAUCGAAUUUGGAAAGCUGUUUUAAGCACAUCCUUAUUCUUCACUUUUAGCUGAUGAUACCCAAAUCAUAGGUUAAUUUUAGAUAAUAUUGCUGCACCAAAUUUAAUUAUUAAUAAUCAUUGCAUAAUAAUAUAGAACCAUAUUUUUUCUUUACAAAUAAUAUUAUAUCUCCCUAAGAAGAUAUAUUAAGGCAGAUAAAACUUUAUCAAAAUGUUCUUGCAAUUUAACUUUUAAUUCCUUUCACUCAACAGAUGCUAUACAAUAAAGUGCUUUAGAAAAUUUGAUUUCUCAAUUAGAAGGUAAGCUAGGUAAAUCCUUAGGAAAUACAUCUAAAAAUAUAUACUAAUCUUGGUGGGGGCCCAACGGACAUAAUAUUGACCGAUGACGUGGCAGCAUCAUAUUCUACCAACCUAGGUUCUUACUGUAGGCCUAACAAAUUGAAUUAAUGCCCAUUGACUUUUGUGUUGAUAUGAUGAUGUGGCAGUAUAUUAUUGGACCGAAAACAUGCAUACAAUAUGUGCAUAUGCAUGAAAUGACAAUCUUGAUAAUGUGUUCCAUCUAGUCAGAGCUUGCAAUGGAGCAUAAUCCUGUGCAUUCAAAUUGUUUUCAUCCUAUGGCCGUGAUUUACCUAUUGUAUGUAUAAAUAAGGAGCUCCCUCCUAAUUUGACAGUCUUGAAUUCAAAUUUGAGCUUCAUUUUAUCUAAUUCUCUCUAUCUUGAAUUCUUAUGUAUUUUAAUAUAAAAUUAUCAUUUUACCCUUGGUUCAAUAUGUGUAACUAAUUUAAUUUCUAGCUUAGGUAAAAGGUUAAACCUCAACAUGCUUCAUGGGCGUAAUUUGGUAAAUUUAUUUUCUCUCCAUCUCUUAUUUAUGUAGGUUGUUUAACUUAUCGUCGGCAGAUAAUGUAUCUUAUGUAGGUUUUGUAUGCUAUACCGACUCCUUGGUGAAAUAUCAUUAUUGUCUGACAUAAUAAGCACUUUACAUCAUAUUUAUUAGAGAAAGAAUUCCCUUUAAUGUUUGUAGGUUGUCUUAACUUAGUGUUAACAGAGAGUGCAUUUACAUUAUUUAGUGAUGGUCUUGCAAUGUUGUCGACAAAAUGAUUAUUAUUAUCGGACACAACAUGUACUUGACACCACACUUAACGAAAGAUCAUUACCCUCCGGCACAAUGAGCGCUUGACACCAUAUUUUUUAGAGUGAGGCUUAUAAAGAGUGGAAACCAUAUUUUUUGUAUAUUUUUUUAGUAUAUUAAAUUAUCUAGUAUCUGAAGACCACGUUGGGCCAUGUUCGAGCUGGGUAAGACCAAUAGAGCGGCAAAGCUCUCCCAACAAGUAUUUAACGUAGCUGCAUUCCUAAGUCUUGAACUAAGGAUCUUGAUUAAGUGAGAACAACCCCAUGUUAGCCAAUCUACGCGCUUGUUAGUUGAUGAUCAGUUUCAUAACAUUAAUUUUAUCUUUACAUCUUGAAAGUAUUGAAAUGGUCAAUCCCCUCCACUACAGCGUUGACACGUGUACAAGGGAAGCCAGACCCAAGUCAAAUCUAAUUUGAUUGGAGCCUAUCCUUACCAAGGAGAUUGUAGUUCAACCAAAUUGAGUAAAACAUGUGACAACGUAAAAAUCUCACCACCUUAUAAAUUAAUAUUAUACUAUUAUAUUGAAAUAUAUAUAUAUAUAUUAAUUUUUUUAAUUUAUUCCUUACUUUUAUUCAAAAAUUAUUAUAUAUAAAAAAAACACAAACACCACAUUGUUAAUAACUGUGUCACAAGUACAUAUUACUUAAAAUAAAAUUUAUAGACAUUUAUGUUAAUGUCACAAACUGCCAACGAGAAGAUGCUAUAGUCAUAUUGAUAGAUAGAUGAUUUAUUUAAUUAUUUCUCUUGUACUCAUGUCGGCACGAAGAAUGUAGGGUUUUUUAUUUAAAUAUACCAUAUUUACCCCUAAAUACUAAAUCUAUACCUUAUUAUACACACACGCCUCAUGAAGGUGGGAAAAGUAAAAAACACCCUUAAAAACCAUGAAUUUACUCCAUUUCUUCCUUUCACAAUCUUUUGCUCUCACCAUUCUUUUCUCAUGGUUUCCUCUUCUCAUUGUUUCUUCCUCUCAUGGUUUUAUCCUCUCUCACAAUUUCAUCUCUUACCUUUAAUACAAAGGUUUUGCUAAAGUCAAGUAUUCUCAGCUAUUUACUCGACUUCGAUAAAAGAAGUCGAGACUUGAAGUUGAUUGUUCUUAGCUAUUUAAACUGACUUUGAUGAGAGGAGAAUUUUUUGUGAAUAUUGGGCAUGGUUCAGUUUAAAUUGAGUAUUAUCGACCAUUUACUGAACUUCGAUAAAAGAAGAGAAUUUUUAUGGAAUGAAUACUCGGGCAAAGUUACAUUGAAGUCGAGUAUUCUCGACUAUUUACCCUACUUCAAUGGAAGAAGUUGAGUAUACUCAGUUAUUUACCUGACUUCAAUGAGAGGAGAAUUUUUGCUCAACAUUGGGCAUGGUUCAAUUGAAGUCAAGUAUUUUCGACUAUUUAUCAAAUUUCGAUGAAAAAGGUCAAGAAUUUUUGGUAAAUAUUGGGUGUUGUUAAGUUGAAGUUAAGUAUACUUGACUAUUUACCUGAUUUCAAUAAAAGAAGUCGAGAAUUAAAGUCGAGUAUUCUCAAUUAUUUAUUCAACUUUGAUAAGUCCAGUUUUGUGAUGAUUUCUACUGAGAAUACUUUUAUACUUUUCCUAAUUUUUUAAGGGUUUUUAUUUAUAUAUCCCCAAUUUACCCUUAAAUACCAAAUUUAUACCCUAUUACAUAUAUAUACCUCACGAAGAUAGGAAAAGUAAAAAAUAACCUUAAAAAAACCAAGAAUCCACACAUUUCUUCCUCUCAGUGCAGGAAGAAGUCAAAUACGAAGUCGGGUAAGUCGAGAAUUUAGUCGAGUAAGAAUUGGAGAUAAGUAAGUCGAGUAUAUGGUCUAGUAGGAAGUCAAGUAAACAUAUUGAAUGAGUUGAGUAUUAAGUAAAAGUCAAGUAAAAUUUAUGUAAUUUUUAAAGAGGUCAAGUAUUAAGUCGAGUAAGUACAUUGAGUCGAGUAUUAAUAUUUUUAAAGAACUGAAGUAUGGUAAGUUGAGCAUUCAGUCGACUAAGAAGUGAAGACAAUCGAAUAAGUCGAACAUCUAGUCGAGUACGAAGUCGGGUAUGAAGUCUGGUAAGUUGAACAUUCAGUCGAGUAAGAAGUGAAGGCAAUUGAAUAAGUCGAGUAUUUAGUCGAGUACGAAGUCGGGUAUGAAGUAUGGUAAGUUGAGCAUUUAGUUGAGUAAGAAGUGAAGACAAUUGAAUAAGUUGAGUAUCUAGUCGGGUAUGAAGUCUAGUAAGUUGAGCAUUCAGUUGAGUAAGAAGUGAAGACAAUUGAAUAAGUCGAGUAUCUAGUCGAAUAAGUAGAUUGAAUGAGUCGAGUAUUAAUUUUUUGUUGGUAUUUUAUUGAGGUUAUUUUUAUAUUUUUCUUGAUUUUUUUAAGGAUUUAUGUGUAAAAUUAUAAAUUUUAAUAGAUAGAGGUAUAUUUUGGAUAUUACGAGGGAAACGGGGUAUUUCCCACGCAAUUCCCUCUUUUUUUUUUAAGUUUAUACGUGUAAAGUUAAAGAGUCUAACAAUAUUUUGGAUAUUUUGGUGGGAAGGGGUAUAUCCCACGCAAUUCCCGCUUCUUGCAUGUACCAAUUCCCGCUUCCGACCUUAGCUUCCACUGGCCCAAAAAAACAAAAGCAGUAUCACCAAGAAAAAGCAGAAACAAAAGCUCAAUAAGCGUUAUCGAAAGCAGAGUCAUCCCCUUCGGUUCACUUCCAUAUUUUCUUUACCAAAAACAAAAGCAUUCUUCUCAAUCAAUCAGUCAAUCAAUUCCUUAACUUAGAGAAUUUUUUAUUAAAAAAAAUUGUAUCAUAUUCAUAAACGUAAAUUCUUUUCUUGCUCAAGGAGACAACCACUUUGCCCCACUUAACGCCCAAAGCAUUUCUCUUUCUCUUUCAAUACAAAUACCCACAAAGAUUUAAAAAAAAAGAAGAAAUUAUGUUGUCUCUUCACAAACCCAACUCAAAACAACAAGGAAAUACUGAAACGAGUGGUUCACUUAAUAGUAGUAGUGAGUUGUUCGAAGAAGAACGUUAUGGCGAGUUCGAGUGGGACCCAGAAAGAUGGGGGCCCACCACCGCGGACGCAGUCGAAGAAGACGAGUCGAGCCCAGACCAACGUGCACAACGAAGACGGCUCUGCCAUUGACAGUGAGCUCGUGCCUUCGUCUUUGGCUUUCAUUUCUCCAAUUCUUCGUGUUGCUAGUGAAAUCGAGAAGGACAAUCCAAGAGUUGCCUAUCUCUGUUCGUUCUUCUUCUUCUUCUUUUGUCUCUUUUUAUUUUAUUUUAUUUAUUUAUUUUAAUUGGGUCUGUUAAUGUGAUGUGUUUGGUUGCUUGCUUGUUGUUUGUUAUUUGAUGGGUUCUGUUCAUGUGUGUAAUGUAUCUUAGGUGCUAAGCAAAUUAAUGGGUGUUUAGAGCACAUGUUAAAUAGAUAGAAUCCAUUACAAUUUGAUUCCUCUUUCAUUUUUUUUUUGGCUCCAAAGAAGUGCAAUGUGUGUGUUUAUAUGGUGUUGUGGAUAUGCUUGAAUUCUGCAAUUCGUUUGUGAAAUGAUGUGCUUUCAAUUUGGUGAGUUUCAAUUAGGUAGGUUUGAAGGUCAGUGUGUGGCAAAUGAAAUUGUUCUACAUUUGAGAGGUGGGUGAAAAUUAGGAACUCUAUAUUGAAAAACUAUUGAGGUUUUGCUUUAUGGUACAUACUUGAAAAGAGAUGUGAGCCAUGUGUUGUGUUGGUGAGAAAGUGAAUGACAAAAAUGGUGCAUCAAAUGCCUUCACCUGAUGCAUUUCUUGUUUAAUUUGGAAAAGGAAGACGAGUGCUCAGCAUACUAGUGCAUGAAAGUAAUAGUUAUUGCCUAAUUUGAUCGAUAGAUGCAUUUUAAGCUUUCAGAGAUGUAUGAAUAUAUGAUGCUGGCUCUAAAUUGGAGAAAAAAGCUUUUGGAGGUAGAGCUUAUUGAUCUGUCAUGCAAAUCUCAAAAGGUAACGGUUUACUUCCUGGGCCUGUGAUAGCCUUUGCUGUUUUCCUUGUCCUCAGCAUUUCUACAUGCAGAAAAGAACUUUAGGUUUUAAGUCCAGUGGUAUAUGUCUAUCAAUUGCCUAAGCGGCCCAGGAAGACAUCUCAUGGACUGUUGAAGAUUUUUUUCUAUAUCACAGUUCAUUAGAUGGCUUUUCAUGCUCCAGAGUAAGAACACAAAACCACUCAAAUAUCUAGUCAUAAUCCUCUUUAGUUUCAAGGCAUUAAUUGAACAAUGCUUUUUGAAGGGUUUCCUCGUUUUUAACUCCUUAAUUUAUCUUUUUUGUUAGUAUGAACAAGAAAUGUUUCCCUUUUGUGAAUAAAGUACUGGGAGCCAACAAAAGCAAUAUACCAUGGUUGCUAGGUUAGGAAUCUAUGCAGUCCUUUAGCCGAUGUUCUUUCCAAUGGUUGUUUUAGGAAUGAUCUUCAGCCUUUCUUCAGCUUUUGUUGAUAUACCAUAAAUGUUACAUAUUUUCCAUUUUCUCAUAGACAAUCAAUGGGUUUCUAUCUUGAGCACUCAAUAAUACUUCUUGACUGAAAAAAGUUUAUCUUAUAGACCACUUUCUAAUUCUUUGCUCUCCUGCUUUGGCUUUUGUUCCCAGAUUGAUAUAUUGUAUGUUUGAUCCCAAUUACUUCAGAUUGUGCUUCAUUGAAUAUAGUUGGAAUUAAUUUUUUAAGAGUUGGAGUAUGCCCUUUCCAUAGGAGGUCUGUCAAUUUUUUUUUUUUUUUAAUUUGGACAUGAACAUUAUAAUCCUUGAUGAUGGAGCUGGUUGAAAGUUGAUUAGGUAGAAGUAAUUUGGACAUGAACAUUAUAAUCCUUUUUUUAAUUUGGACAUGAACAUUAUAAUCCUUGAUGAUGGAGCUGGUUGAAAGUUGAUUAGGUAGAAGAAAGGGGAUCCAAACUUUUGCUCGUAAAUUUCUUUUGUAUGUAUACUUUUUUAAUUAUUCAACUCUUAUCUCACAUCAAUCUAAGGGUUUAUCUUAGAUAUCUUUUUCUUUGUAGUUCUAAAUAUUAUUUUGCAUAUGUAGUUCUUACAAUAAAAAAAAAAAAUCCAUUUAUUAUUUAACAAAAAGAAAAGAAGAGAAAAGAAAAAACUAAAUAAGUGUCAUAACUGAAUGGCUUUGCACCAAUAUUUGGUUUUACGUUCUGCUUAACAGUGAUAAAUAUAUAUUGUUUUCAUGAGAAAGUGGGUAUUUACUGCUCUAAGAAAUAUAAAAUCACUUUUUCUAGAAAAAGAAAGGUUUAUAAAAUUUUUCCCCUCAAACUAAUGUUGCUUAAGAUGCAAUAUCUAUUUUCUUUUUUAUUCUUAGGUGCAUGAUAUGUUUGUUUAGUAAGUGCCUUUUGGUUAUUAUUUUAUUUUUUAUUUAUAAUUUUUCGUGUGUAUUUUCUUUGGCCAAAUGUUGAUAGUUACCAUGACUAGUCUAUGACAAAGGUACUUUGAACGUGCUUCUGUGGUUGAAAUUUACCUUGAUUGUGACCUCAGUAUAUUUUUUUCAACCAGGUCGCUUCCAUGCACUCGAUAAGGCCCAUAGGAUGGAUCCAACAUCAAGUGGACGUGGUGUCCGGCAGUUUAAGACCUAUCUGUUGCAUAAACUCGAGAAGGUAGACCUAAUAGUUAUUGUUGGUUAUUAUAAUUCUUAAUUUUUCUUUUCUUACUUUUUUCAUUGAAGUACAGUCCUUGUUUUUGGAAAUUUUUUAUUUUAAGACUUGUCUUAAAUACUAUUGUUAGCCUAUGAGCUUAAGCUCUUGGGUCAAGCAGUUUCUCUAAUUUGGUAUAAAUGCCAAGGUCUUAAGUUCUCUUUCCCCUACAUGCAAACUUUCUCAUCUAUUUCUUCAAUUUCCUGGCUCACUAUUGGUUUUUGGUCUUAGUCCAUGUUUCAAGUGAUAAGGGCUGUUAAGAUUUGUCUUAAAUACUAUUUCUGGGCCCUUACCUAUGAGUUUAUGCUUUUGGGUCAAGCGGUUUCUCUAACAUAUGUUAAUCAUCUAAAUGAUUUAUCUUUUUGUUUGGUAUGUAUAGCAGUAUAGAAGUUAGACCACCUUUAUUAACUUUUCUAAUGGUUUGGUUCUCUGCAAAUUUUGAAUAUAUGUGUCAAUGGGGUUAUAAUUUGGAAGUUUGGCCCAAAAGGCCUUUAACUCAUCCUCAUCUUGCCAAAAUAGGUCCCGGGGGGAUGUAUAAAUGGGGUCUUACCCAUUCAGCCUUUUAUAUUAAAUGACCUCUCUCAAGACUUGAAUUCUGUAGUUAACAUCCGCAGCCAAGGACUUUUUAACUUGCGCUUGCCUAAUGUCAAUAAUUCUUUGUAAUCUUGCGUAUUUAUCUAGAGUAAUUGCCCCUUUUGAUAUGUAUUUAUCUUCAUCAUCUUUUAAGAAGAACUCGAGAGCUGGUGGUCACCAUGGAGUAGGCAUUGUAAGAUUUCAUAGAUAAAUUUUACAGAGACUGUAAUCUCCUAUUGCAAUGUAUAUGAUAUUGAUGGUUAUCUUAUUGAUUGUCUAAGAUAUGCACAUGAAUUCAUUGGCUAAGUAUUUUAGAUACAUCUUACUAGCUUUCUUUUUUCUUUCUUUCUCUUAUCUAUUUAUUUAUUUUUUGAAUUCUUAUUAGCUUUCAGAACUGAUGUCAAGAAUAAAAUCCAAUGACAUUUCAAGAAAUCCAAAAUGAAAAUUUGUCACAUCCUAAAUUUCUAUUUGUUGCAGGAGGAAGAAGAAACAAAAUGUCAGCUUGCAAGAAAUAAUCGAAAUGAAAUCAUAGCAUACUAUCGGAAUUUCUAUAAUGAACAAAUUAAAGGAGGCCAAUAUACAAAAAAACCGUAAGGCUUGAUGUUAAAUUGUUGACGUGCCCACUUCAGCUAAACACAAUAUUCAUUAUCUUGUUCUUUUUCAUUUUUGCUUCCUGUUCAAGGGAGGAGAUGGCUAAGAUUUUGCAGACUGCAGUAGUUCUGUAUGAUGUGCUGGAAACAGUGGUACCUCCGGAAACAGUUGACGAUCAGGUUUGAUUUGUAUAAUAUCAGUUUCAUUACAUAUAUUUUUAAGUUUAUCUUUGCAUCUGGAAAGUAAUGAAAGGUUAAUUCGCAAUUGAUUUGUCCUUGCAGAUCCACAGGUAUGCUCAAGAUGUUCAGAGGAAAAGAGAACAAUAUGAACACUAUAACAUUCUUCCUCUAAAUGCUGUUGGGGCCAAAGCAGCAAUCAUGGAACUUCCUGAGGUCACAUAUUUGUAGUAUUUGUAAUCUUUGUUUUUCUUAUGCUCAUUAAUUUUAUACAUACUCAAUUUUCUUUAUCCUCCCUGUGGGAGUAUAGAUCAAAGCUGCACUUCAUGCACUGCGUGAUGUGCAAAACCUUCCCAUGCCUAGUGUUCGUUUGGCAACCAAUGCUCCUCAUGACUUGCCUGAGGAAAGGAACAAAUCGGUUUUUGACAUACUUGAUUGGCUUUCUUCUGUUUUUGGGUUUCAGGUAACUUAUUCCUCGAAUCCCCCAGUUUCCUUUUAUUUUUCUAUCUACAUGUCACCUGCUGUAGGCUUCAGUUCAUUGGUUAUUAAGUUUAACUCUGUUCUUAGUCCGCUAUUUAUGAUCCCACUAUAUCAUAUCAAAAUUGAUGAUAAACCUUGGACUUGACUUAGAGAAUCAGCUAUUCUCUUGAUGCAAUGCACUCCGGGUAUUUCUUCCCCGUCCCAACUCCAUCUAACUGAGUAACUAGGACAGAGGUAUCAUUUUCACCUGUUGGGUAAUAGAGAUUCAACUUUCUAAGCCUCACAUCCAGGUUAGUUAGGAUUUAUUGUACAAAUCUUUUCCCCAUAUUAUUUCCUACCAGAGUCAUAUUGCUUGCAGCCUCUUUAGAACUAAACAUUCUGUUCUCUUCCAAUACUUCUAGGUGCAUAUUUCUUAGUCUGUUUCUUUCUCCUUUUUUUUUUUUUUUAAAUACCACUUCAAUAUAGUCGCUCUUCUGUGCUGAAAGAUUCUAGGUCAAUGUUGGACAUAACAACAAGCAACUCAUAUUCAACUGAUCCUGAUAUGUCCUCAGUCUAUUUUUGACGAAUUUAUUCAUUUCAUAUCUUGUAAAUUCUUUAUUCCUCUGUUCCAUCUUAAUCAUCAUCCAUUAUUUCCACAUCCAUUUUAGAGAACCGUUCUUUCUUAACUGCGUCAAACCAUGCUCCAUGAAGUGUAACUGGACUUGUGACUGUUUAUAAAUAUUUUUCUUCUGCGCUGUGGUAAUUUUAGAAUCACGUAAUACUUCAGUUUAACUUCUCUAAAAGUUUUAAUUCUUCACUCUCCUAGUGGACAGCUGGUCCACUCUAUGUUUUGAUUCUUCAUACUUAGUACAAUUUUGAGUUUCUUAUCAAAAAGANNNNNNNNNNNNNNNNNNNNNNNNNNNNNNNNNNNNNNNNNNNNNNNNNNNNNNNNNNGGGGGGGGGGGGGGGGAGUUGAACUUCUCUAAUCAUCCACCUCACUUUAAUUCUGCUGGUUUCAACAGUUACAUAAUUUUCUACUUGCAAAAAUAUAUUAUCCUCGCUUUAGUUCUGUGGUCAUCAUAUGCAUCGGUCUCUAUAGUUUAUAUAUAAUUGACUUAAGAUUAACUAAAAGAAGGACACUUAAUGGUUAUAAUUUUUCACCAUAUUCCCUUGUAUUUUAUCUUAUUCUUACUUAACCUAAAACCUUAGACUCAUAAAAUUAUUUCUUGAUAGCUCCAGCUUGUGACCAGCUUGUGAUACUUAUCAUCCUGGUUUGAUCUAUAUGUACAAUGUUGUCUGUGAAUUAUGUGUAUAUCUUAAAAAUCAAAUGAAUUUCUUUUGAAGAAAGCAUCAUUCUAUCUGAAACUUUCUUUUUGUGCUUCUUAAUGGAAUUUGAAGAAAGGAAAUAUAGCGAAUCAGAGGGAGCACCUUAUACUGCUUCUUGCCAAUAUGGAUGUACGAAAAAGGGAUCUUGUAGACUAUACCCAGGUAAAUAUUUUUCUACUGCCCACUUAAUGCUUUCUGAUAUCUUAGAUUUUGCCAAUAUGCUUAAUAUAUGUCUUAAUUGUAUUCCUUAUAUCUUCUUAUAUUGAAAAUUGACAAAAGCUUAUUUCAGCUUAGAAGCAGCACUGUACAGAAUUUGAUGGAUAAAAUCUUUAAGAACUAUUGGUCAUGGUGUAAGUACUUGUGUUGUGAACAAAAUAAUAGGUAAGUUACCAUGUUGCCUUCCAAAAUUAUAAGCUUAAACCAUGGAUUGGUGGAUUUUUUACACACUGUAAUAUGCGGUGUACAACAAGAUGAUCCUUUAGUGAGAGGAUUAUUUUCAUUUAGUGAGAGGAUUAUUUUCACUUUGCAGGGUUCCUCCAGGUUCUGACAAACAACAGCUACAGCUUAUCUACAUUGGGCUUUAUCUUCUUAUCUGGGGUGAAGCUUCAAAUAUUCGUUUUAUGCCUGAAUGCAUUUGCUACAUCUUCCAUAAUGUAAGUUUACUGUCACUAAAUACGAUUGGUGAUGUGAGUAUUCUCUAUCUGUAGGCGGGAGCGAGUUUCUUUAUGUCUUGCAGUAUUAUUUUUUGGAAGGUGGAACUUUCUUUGUAUUUUAGACUAGUGCAACCGUGAAUCUUCGAUCAACUGAAGAUGAAGGUUGCUUACUUGUUCAUCAAUUAUUAUUAUAAAGUUCUGUCUUGAGUCCUCUGGUUUUUCUUACUCUAGAUCAUCUCUGCAUCAAUCUUCUGAAAUAAAAUUAUAAAGUAAUUAGUCAUUAGUGUGCAUAUAUUCGAAGUUUAUUGAAGAAGAGGUUGAACAGAAAUAUGUGGUCUUCUCACUUUAAAAGGAUCCUAGAUUUAGAUGUCUCUUUCAUUUGUUUAUCCUGUCAAACCUGGGGUAUGAGCUGGCAAUUUUGACAGGCAUGCGUGAGUUUACGACUGGCUAUUUCUGUAACAAAAUAUAGGAAGGAAACAGUAAACACUGCACUUUCAUAUAUACUUUAUUAAUCAAACUACAAGAUUAUAUAUAUGCUUGAAGCUAACAUAGACUAGGAGUCUUAUCUUAGCAAAGUCCUUUAUUCUAGGGAUAAAAACAAAAAAUAAGUAGAUAGAACAUAUCAUGUAAAACAACCACCAGAUAAAGAUAACUCUAUUUUUUCAAAUUCUGCCACAAUUUCUCACUGUAAUUUGAGCGAUCUGAACUGCCUACCGCGUUUGUCAUAAUUUCCCACUAGUCAUUAGUCAUAUUUCUAGAUGGAAUUUCCCAAAACUAUAUGAGAUAGACAAUGUAGCAGUAACAGAACCCACUGUGGAAUUUCCCAAAACUAUAUGACAUAGACAAUGCAGCAGUAACAGAACCCACUCAUACACAGUUAUAUGCUGAUAUUGUUUCUGAUACCAUUGUUAAUCUGAUUUCUUUGGUUUGCUUCUUCUUAUCAUAGCUAAUGGCUUUUCAUAAACAUAAGUGUCAUUAAAUUUUACAUGAUAGGAAAAUCCAUAAUGAAUGAUUUGGUAAAACUCCAUGAUCAUAUAAGCAAUCGUAUUCAGUUAUAGCAAAUUCAAGAUUGGGACUGGGGAUCUAGUAUGUCAAUUCCACAGAAUUAAAGUAAUCCUCUGUCUGUUUCCUGAUUAUCUAAGAUGGCAGAUGUGGUUUAUGGAAUUUUGCUUAGCAAUGUACAUCCUGUCACUGGAGACACGAACCAUGGUAACCAAACAAUUGCACCUGAUGAAGAAACAUUUCUGCAGACUGUCAUAACCCCCAUCUACCAGGUGUUGCAGAAGGUAUUGUUUUGCUGUAUUGCACAUAUUGUCUUUUUCAACACUUGCAGCUUUCUAUGUGGAAAUUGAUUAUCUUUGUUGGAAAAAGGAAGCCAAGAGAAACAAAGGGGGCAAGGCAAGCCAUUCUAGGUGGAGAAACUAUGAUGAUUUAAAUGAGUACUUUUGGUGAGUUUUCUAAUAGUAACUUUCUUUUUCAUACUUCAAUCAGAUAUGUCUGAGCUUGUUUGUAUUCUUGCUGUUGUAUAGCCCUAGAGAAUCUGUCAAACCAAGCUCUAGGUGACUGUUUCAGUCCAUAGAGUGAUUUUUUCAAUUUACACACUAGUCCUCUUCCUUCCUUAUCAAAUCCAGGUGGCAACUCCAUGUAAACCUCCUCUGCUAAGUCUCCGUUAAGAAAAGCAUUCUUAACAUCUAAUUGUUGAAGUGGCCAAUCCAAGUUUGCAGCCAAGGAUAAUAGAACUCGAAUUGUAUUUAAUUUAGCGACUGGAGCAAAUGUUUCCUGGUAAUCAAUCCCGUAUGUUUGAGUGAAUCCCUUUGCUACUAGUCGUGCCUUAUACCUCUCUAUUGAUCCAUCAGACCUAUACUUGACAGUAAAAACCCAUUUACAACCCACUGGAACCUUUCCUUCUGGUUUUUGUACCAGCUCCCAUGUUCCCAUCUGUUCUAGAGCACUCAUCUCCUCUAUAACAGCCUGUCUCCACUUCGAGUCUUCUAACGCUUCUUGAAUAUUCUUUGGAAUUUGUACACCUGAAAGAUUAGUAACAAAUGCUCGAAGAGAAGGUGACAGUCGGUCAUAGGUCACAUAAUUAGAAAUAGGAUAUUGAGCACAAGAUCUAAUCCCCUUUCUUAAGGCUAUAGGAACAUCAAGAUCAGCAAUUUCAGGUUUAAGAACAGUAUUUUGAGGCUGUAUACCUUCAUUCAGUUCGGUCUCUUGACAGUGCUGUCGGUGAGCAGGUUCCUCAACUCUUUGCGGAUUAUUCCGUCGUGAAUAAACACGUAGCUCUUGUUGUUGCUGUGUUUCUCCCCCUGUCUUGAAAUUUUCAUCAUCAGUAGACUUCAUUGGCUGAGAUGAAUUUUGAGUUGUUUCUAAUGAAGACAAAUCUGAUUGAGACUGACACGGCUGAACGGCAGUGAGUUUAGGUGGAGAUAACAAUUCUGAAGACUGGGGAAAAAUUGGAGAUGGUAAGGACGCUGCUCAAAAAUUCCCUUCAUUAGAACUCUCCCCCUGAAGGGAAUUCUGGGCAUAGAAAGGGUGAGUUUCAAAAAAGGUAACAUCCAUAGAAAUGAAAUAUUUGUGCUGUUCAGGAGAAUAACACCGAUAACCUUUUUGAGUGGCUGAGUAACCUAAAAAAAUACACUUAUGAGCUCUAGGAUCUAGCUUUGUUUGACUGCUGUACGGCCAAGGCGGAUGUACGGUACAGCAGUUUUUUUCAAAUUCUGCCACACUCCCCCUCAAGCUGGACAAAAAAACAUUGAACAUUCCCAGCUUGUCUACCAACUUUUCAAACACUGGUUUGACUAAUCCUUUAGUAAGAAGAUCUGUAGUUUGUUGAGAUGUAGGCACAUAUGUCAUAGAAAUUACUCCUUCUUCUAUCUUCUCCUUGAUGAAAUGCCGGUCAACCUCAACAUGCUUAGUUCUAUCAUGAUGUACUGGAUUAUGAGAAAUAUCUAUGGCUGCCUUAUUGUCACAAUAAAGUUUCAUAGGUUGAAUAUCUGCGAUUUUUAGCUCCCCUAAUAAUAGUUUCAGCCAUAACAACUCACAGAUACCUUGAGCUACUGCUCUGAACUCUGCUUCAGCACUACUUCUUGCCACAACUGACUGUUUUUUACUUCUCCAAGUUACUAAAUUCCCCCAUACAAAUGUGCAAUAGCCCGACGUAGAUCUUCUAUCCUUAAUUGAACCAGCCCAAUCAGCGUCUGUGAAGGCUUCAACACUUCUUGCCUCAUUCUUUUUGAAGAGAAGACCUUUUCCUGGAGUUCCUUUUGUACCGUACAUCCGCCUUGGCCGUACAGCAGAUGGUAAGGACGCUUCCCAAAAAUUCCCUUCAUUAGAACUCUCCCCCUGAAGGGAAUUCUGGGCAUAGAAAGGGUGAGUUUCAAAAAAGGUAACAUCCAUAGAAAUGAAAUAUUUGUGCUGUUCAGGAGAAUAACAUCGAUAACCUUUUUGAGUGGCUGAGUAACCUAAAAAAAUACACUUAUGAGCUCUAGGAUCUAGCUUUGUUUGAGCCAAACUAUGGAUAUGGACAAAGGAAGUACAACCAAAGACUUUAAGUGGCAGAUCCGUACAUACUCGAGUGUGUGGAUAAUAUUGGAGAAACAUGUUAAGUGGAGUUUGGUAAUUAAGAACCUUAGAAGGCAUGCGAUUAAUUAAGUACGAUGCCGUAAGAAUAGCAUCUCCCCAGAAUUGUUUAGGUACAUUGGUAGUGAACAUAAGAGACCGUGCUACUUCAAGUAGAUGACGAUUUUUUCUUUCGGAGACACCGUUUUGUUGUGGAGUAUAAACACAAGAACUUUGGUGUAUAAUCCCAUGGUGUGAAAGAAAUUGACUAAGAGAAGUGUUAAAAAAUUCUCUACCAUUAUCAGUACGUAAAAUCUGGAUUUUGGCUUGGAAUUGUGUUUGGAUCAUGGAGUGAAAAUUUUUAAAGGUUUGUGCUGCGUCAGAUUUAUCCUUUAAUAGAUACACCCAACAGAUUCGUGUGUGAUCAUCAAUAAAAGUAAGAAACCAUUUUAUACCCGUAAGGUUUGAGACACGAGAAGGUCCCCAUAUGUCACUAUGAAUCAUUGCAAAAGGUCUGGAAGGUUUGUAUGAUUGAGAAGGAAAAUAGGAACGCUGAUGUUUAGCCAAUUGACAUACUUCACAAUGAAUCAUAAGAGAAUCUUUAUUACGAAAUAAUUCAGGAAACAAAUUUCUUAAAUAUGGAAAACUAGGAUGACCUAACCUACGAUGCCACAACAUUAUUUUUUGUUCCCUAGACAUAGAAAGAGAUCCACAGUCAGCAGUAUGAGGUUGUUUAUUCACGUUGAAAUCCUCAAAAUAGUAAAGUCCCCCAUGUUCCCUAGCACUGCCAAUCCUCCUCCCCGAAAUUAGGUCCUGAAAUUCACAAGAGGAGUGCGAAAAAUGAGCAACACAAUUAAGAUCUUUAGUGAUUUUGCUGACAGAGAGUAGAUUGCAAGAUAAUUUAGGAACAUGGAGAACUGAUUUGAGAAUUAUGCUAGGAGUAAUCUUUAUAGUGCCCAUCCCUGCAACAACUGAAAGUGAACCAUCAGCUAUCCUUACUUUAAAAUGAUCUGGACUAGGAGCAUAAGAAGAGAAAAAAUGAAUGCAGCCUGUCAUGUGAUCUGUGGCGCCAGAAUCAAUGAUCCAGGGAUCUGGAACCUUGGCAGAAGCAUGAAAAACUGUUGGGAUCUGGAAAAUACCUUUUUGGGCCAGCAAAGAGGACGAAGGAAUAGGAGUUAAAAGUUUUUGAAGCUGUUCAAGUUGUUCUUUGGUAAAUGAUGGAAUCACACUGCUUACACCUUCCUUUGGAACACUUUGAUCAGUGUCAGUUGCAGAUUGAAAUCCUUUUGGACUUCGCUUAUUGCCUCUAUUGUCUUUCCAAUUUGUUGGUUUACCAUGUAGCCUCCAACAACGCUCUUUGGUGUGAUUCGGUUUGUGGCAAUGAUCACACCACAGCUGGCCACCUUUGUUGGAAUUAUUAGAUCCCUGAACAGCCAAAGCAGACAUUUCAGGUGCUAUAAGUGAUUUUGGCUCCCCAAGCAUGACCCGUUUACGACUCUCUUCUCGUCUGACUUCAGCAAAGAUUUCUCGGAUGGAAGGUAAUGGUUUAGUGCCAAGUAUACGACCACGAACAUCAUCAAGCUCCUUAUUAAGACCAGCCAAAAAGUCAUAAAUUCGAUCUUUAUCCACCAGUUUUUUGUAUCGAGCACCAUCAUCAAUACACCUCCAUUCACACUCAUUGAAUAGAUCUAAUUCCUGCCAAAGAUUCUUCAGAGAGUUAAAAUAAUGGGUUACAUCCAUAUCACCUUGUUUCAAGUUACGAGCCAUAUUCCUCAAUUCAAACAGCUGUGAUGAAUUUUCCAAAUCCGAGUAAGUUUCUUUGACAGCUUCCCACAGUUCAGCAGCUGUUUGGUAAAAUAAAUAUGUCUGCCCGAUGUUUGGUUCCAUUGAGUUAACCAGUCAUGCCAUAACGAUAGAAUUUUCAGCAUCCCAUAUUUGAAAUGCAGGAUCAUUUUCAUCUGGCCUUUGCUUUUGGCCAAGGAGAUAGCCAAGUUUUCCACGCCCUCGAAUUACCAUUUGAACAGAACGAGACCAUGGGAGAAAGUUCUUUCCGUUGAGUUUGUGGGAUGUAAUUUGAAGUGAUGUAUUUUCAGUAAUUGCAGUGUGAACAAUUGUAGGAGUUGACAGAGAAGGAAUCUGAGAUGUUUCAGCAGAUUCGGAAGAGUCAAUACUCCUACUUGUGCCAGUCAUGGCUGUUUUUACCAUGGUUUCCUUCAACUAAUACCUAGCUCUGAUACCAUGUAACAAAAUAUAGGAAGGAAACAGUAAACACUGCACUUUCAUAUAUACUUUAUUAAUCAAACUACAAGAUUAUAUAUAGGCUUGAAGCUAACAUAGACUAGGAGUCUUAUCUUAGCAAAGUCCUUUAUUCUAGGGAUAAAAACAAAAAAUAAGUAGAUAGAACAUAUCAUGUAAAACAACCACCAGAUAAAGAUAACUCUAUUUUUUCAAAUUCUGCCACAAUUUCUCACUGUAAUUUGAGCGAUCUGAACUGCCUACCGCGUUUGUCAUAAUUUCCCACUAGUCAUUAGUCAUAUUUCUAGAUGGAAUUUCCCAAAACUAUAUGAGAUAGACAAUGUAGCAGUAACAGAACCCACUGUGGAAUUUCCCAAAACUAUAUGACAUAGACAAUGCAGCAGUAACAGAACCCACUCAUACACAGUUAUAUGCUGAUAUUGUUUCUGAUACCAUUGUUAAUCUGAUUUCUUUGGUUUGCUUCUUCUUAUCAUAGCUAAUGGCUUUUCAUAAACAUAAGUGUCAUUAAAUUUUACAUGAUAGGAAAAUCCAUAAUGAAUGAUUUGGUAAAACUCCAUGAUCAUAUAAGCAAUCGUAUUCAGUUAUAGCAAAUUCAAGAUUGGGACUGGGGAUCUAGUAUGUCAAUUCCACAGAAUUAAAGUAAUCCUCUGUCUGUUUCCUGAUUAUCUAAGAUGGCAGAUGUGGUUUAUGGAAUUUUGCUUAGCAAUGUACAUCCUGUCACUGGAGACACGAACCAUGGUAACCAAACAAUUGCACCUGAUGAAGAAACAUUUCUGCAGACUGUCAUAACCCCCAUCUACCAGGUGUUGCAGAAGGUAUUGUUUUGCUGUAUUGCACAUAUUGUCUUUUUCAACACUUGCAGCUUUCUAUGUGGAAAUUGAUUAUCUUUGUUGGAAAAAGGAAGCCAAGAGAAACAAAGGGGGCAAGGCAAGCCAUUCUAGGUGGAGAAACUAUGAUGAUUUAAAUGAGUACUUUUGGUGAGUUUUCUAAUAGUAACUUUCUUUUUCAUACUUCAAUCAGAUAAUUAUUAUCUGAAACUCGUCAAAACCCCAACAAUUGUUUUCAGGUCCAGAAAGUGUUUUAGUCUAAAGUGGCCAAUGGACCCCAAAGCAGAUUUUUUUGUUCAUUCAGACGUGGUAUUGCCUUCACAUGAGGUUCAGUCCUGUCUUAUGCUGUUUUUAUUUUUAUUUUUAUUUUUUUCAAUUUUUAAAUGCUAAGGUAAAUUCGUAGUGUAUUGAUCAUCUUUUACUUACUCAAGAGUAUUGUGUUUCUUAUAGAAGAAGUAUUGUUGCUUAAUGAUUUCCAAGAAUCAUAAAUAUAAAAAUUCAUUUAUUAUCUUUUGAUUCCCUGCGCUAGAGAUAAGUUUGAUCAUUGGUUGAUGAUAUAGUGUCACACUAGGAACCACAUGUCAUAUUGCAUUUGACAAUGUUUUGUUGAUACACACAAAAAUCAUAUGUAAUUAUUAAGUUGAUUGAAAGGUACUCAAAAUGGUUGGUAAAAUAAUAUUUGAAUUAAUAGAAUAUUUCAACCUGCAUUACAAAUCUUCCUUUCUCUCCAGAAUUAUUUUAAAUUGUAACAAAAAGGGGUGAGAAUAAGGAAGCCACUAUCAAGAAAAAGGAUUACAAUUAUCAGAAGAUCAUUUGAUUUUGUUUAUACUGAAAUUAAUGGGUAACGUUGCAAUAUUAUUCUCAAAACUGGCAAGUGAUAGACUGCUGAAGUUUAGCUGUUGGAUAUGACUCAUUUUAAUUUAGACGGGAAGAAAAAUACUUUUAUCACUGGUAAGGCAAUUCAGAUUUUGAGAUUCGAACCAUCAAAUUGAGCAUCAUUAUAUCUGGUAGAUAUACAGAAUCAAAAUGAUAGAAGAUUAACAUUUUCUGCUUCUCUUUCUCCCAAAUGAUUUGAUGUAUUUGUCACCUAGAUUAGUGCAAUGAAGUCCUUGUACCGGUAUUAUGUUUCUCUAUUUAUUAUUAAUUUUUUUAGUAUUUAAGGUUCAUAUGUUUGUUUGCAGAGGCCUAAUCAAGUACCUGCUGAAACGAGAAAGCCCAAGACUAAUUUUGUUGAAGCUCGCACAUUUUGGCACCUCUAUAGGAGUUUUGACCGAAUGUGGAUAUUCUUUAUAAUGGCUUUCCAGGUGGCAUAGCUGUGUGAGAAUGUGAUACUUUAUUAUGCCAUUUUUGGAAAAAUCAAUUGUGUUUCUGAAUUUAUGGCUUUUAGGCUAUGGUAAUUGUUGCGUGGACUUCUGAUGGAUCACCGGCUGCAGUUUUUGAUGAGGAUGUGUUCAGAAGUGUAUUGACCAUUUUCAUUACUCAAGCUUUUCUUAAUUUACUGCAAGGUAUUGUUGAUAUGAGAUUAAAAGUUGGAAUUUGUUUCUCCAUCUCAAUAAUUAGUCCUUGUUGCCUACUUGUAAUCAUACACAGAAUGAAACUUAGCUGUAUUAUAUCUCUGUAUUUAGCAAUUUUGAAGCUUGAUUAUGUUACAGUGCUGCAGUUAUAGUCCUGCAGGUUCAUCCUGUCAUCAACAGCAUGUUGAUGAUUGAUACAAAUUUAGUCAAUCAUUUCUUACUUUCCUACUCGUUUUCCUGCAGCUGCAUUGGAUAUAGUCCUCAGCUUCAAUGCUUGGAGGAGCUUGAAAUGUACCCAAAUACUAAGAUACCUUCUGAAAUUUGCAGUCGCUGCUGUGUGGGCAGUGAUUCUGCCAAUUUGGCAAAGCCAGGGAUCUUUAUAUAAUUUUGCUGUUGCAAUUUAUUUGGUGCCCAAUAUAUUGGCUGCUUUUCUAUUUUUUCUUCCGCAAUUGUCGAGAAUUAUGGAGCAGUCAAACUCACUUAUCGUCAGACUUUUUAUGUGGUGGGGUCAGGUAAGAAUAUCUAGAAUGGUUACAUUUCACCGAUGUUCUUGUUCUUAUUUCUCUUUCUUGCCUUUUGAAUUUUUUUAGUAAACUGUAUAAGUGUUCUUUUUGUAUAUUUUAUUAUCCUGCAGCCGAAACUGUAUGUUGGAAGAGACUUGCAUGAAGGCAUGUUCCAACUUCUGAAGUAAGAUAAGAGGAUGCUUUUGGUUUUCAUUUCUUUUUUGCCUUUAUCUUAUUGGGGUUUGGGAGUUUGGGGGAUUUAAAGUCUAGUGCUAUGAUUUGGAUGUGCCUCUUCUCCAUUAACAGAUAAAUUUUGUGUGCCCAGAUAUACAUUGUUUUGGAUCCUGUUGCUAAUCUGCAAGCUACCAUUCAGCUAUUACGUGGAGGUGAUUUGUUCUUAUAUAUGUUAAUUGAAUUAAUACCUCUACAGUUCAAAUUUAGUGCUGAAUUAAGUGCAAGCACAUCUGUUAGAUGCCUAAAAUCAUUCAUGAAGUUGAUGCAUGUAAAUACUUUUGUCUGCAUGUGCAGAUAAGCUUAUGUAUCUUAAAAUUCAUUUAAAUUAGUAUCUAUAUGUAUUGUUGCCAGUUGUCUCAAGAAAAUUGGGUUGAACAUUUUGGACUCUCCUAACCUCCAUGAUAAUUAAUAUCUAUAUGAUAAUGAUUUUCAUCUGGCAUGGUCGGGCACAGGCAUCCCACGUAAUUCAGUCUUAUGGUUCCUCAUUAUCUGCAUAUGGCCUUUUUUUCCUAGGUGCUCAUUUUGUAUGGGCUUUUAGUUUAAUGCUUCUAUUCAGCGGGCAUAGUGAUUUAUGACGGAUGGUGUCAUCUUAAAUUCUAACCUUUCACCUUGAUCCAUCACUAGUCAUUUAACUUCCCUCUUGACCAUGAAAGGAGCCCAAUCCAAAUUUAUUUUGUUUGAUCCGAUGUCUUUUUACAUAAAGUCUCAUGCUUAUGUAAAGGGAGAGAAUUCUGUCUGUUUGCAGAGUCUUUGAGGGCCCUGCCGCAACCUCACUUUUUGUUUUUAUCCUUCGUAGGUAACUUUGUGCCAUCUUCAUCUAUAUACAUCGGCACAAAGCCAUCGUAUAUCGUUGUGGUGGCUUGUUUUUUCCUCAGUUUGUCAUUGGCUACAAAUCAUAGUGGUUUCUUGAAAUGCUUUUAAGUGCAUUCCACAUUUGGGUCUAUUUCUCUAUACUUGCAGCAUGAUAUUGAGCACUGGUAAACAAGGAUCUGGUCUGUAGUAUUUGCUUCCACCACAGCUUUAUAAAACAACUGGAGUUUGUGAAACGAUGCAAUCUUAGGCCAAUCAAGUGUAAAAGAAUGGAAUAUAUGCAAUAUAAGUUGUUAUAUUUAUAAAGAAUUAAAUACAAACUGUUAAACUUCCUUUAAUUCCUAUCAAUAGCUAUAUGCUUUUAUGCUUUAUUUGUGCUGCAGCUAUAUCUUUUGAUUGGGAAGAACAUGUGAAUUGAUUCUGUGGUGCAUAAAUUUAAAAAUACCAUCUCAAACUCAUGUCAAUCUAAAGCAAUAAUUUACAUAUUUUCUUCAUAGAUAUUGCCACUAAUCAGAUCUUCGAAGUUGAUUAUGAAGUUGCAUGUCGAUAACUAUGAGUGGCAUGAAUUCUUUCCCAAUGGUAAUUAUUCUUCUUUUAUUUUUGGUUAAACUGUUAUAAUUUUACCUUCUAUAUGUGGCUGAAGAAUGUUUUCAUCUCAAAUUGCUGUAGUAACCCAUAAUAUUGGAGUUGUUAUAGCAAUAUGGGCUCCAAUUGUCCUGGUAAGUGGGCUGUAAACGAAUAUUUGGGAACAACAAAUUUUAUGCCUUCAUGUUGUGUUUUGCAUAUUGCAGUUUUAACCUUUAACGUUUUUCAUUUUGACUUGUUUUAUCGGCAUGUAGGUGUAUUUUAUGGAUACUCAAAUAUGGUAUUCCAUAUUUUCUACUCUUUUUGGUGGGAUAAAUGGGGCAUUAAGCCAUUUGGGUGAGGUUAGUGGCCAGUUGUUCUCAUACUAUGGGGAAUCAUGUUAAUAAAAGAUCAAUUGUUCAGUGAGAUAUAUUGAUCUGGAAAUCCUAUAAUUGAUUUAUAUGGAAGAUGUUAUCCAUCAAACUACUUGUUUAUAGUAACACUUACAUCAGUUAGAUAAUCAUGAUUUCCAUUUUUUCAUAUUAAUAAUUGUUGUAUGAACCCAUUUUCAUUUCUUAGAUACAAACGCUUGGGAUGUUGCGUUCUAGAUUUGAAUCUGUGCCAACAGCUUUUUGUCGGUGUCUUGUGCCAUCGUCAGAUGUAGAUACAAAGCGAAGAUACAUGGUACUGCUAAUUCUUGCUGACAUAUUAAUAUUUGCAUCAUUGUCUGGAACUUCAAAUAAUUUCCAUAUGCAGCUACAUUUUCUUCCAAACAUAAAUGCUGGCAAUUAUUCCCCUCUAGGCUGCAUUUUGCUUGCAGAAUAGCAUAGCAUGAGAUUUGUUGACCAGAUAAGGUUAAUAUUCCAGUUCUGUGUUUAGUGCUGGGUGGAAAUAAUACUGGACAUAACAUCUAAUUGUGGGAGAAAAAGUAGAAAAAAAAAUGAUGAUAGGAAUAACAAGGAAACAGGAAAAGUGAAAAUCUAGAUAAAAGAGGGGGAAAAAAAAAAAGAACUUUAUUGGCUGAUGACCUUUAGUGGUUGAUGGAAAGUGACUGACGCUUGCUAGAGACUCUAAUGCUGGCAAAUGGAAGUCAUUGGAAUCCACCUCGCCCUCCCCUUGUUCUUGAUCUCAUAGUGAUGAGGUUAGAAAUCCCACCAAAUAAUACUGGCAUGAUGCUUCCAAAAGAGGAUUGUACUAUUUACAAUCCUAUCCACCCUUCACAUCUGAUGCAGCGGAAUUUUAAAGUUCAAAAUAUUCCGUUGAUUCUAGAGAAUGCCGGAAUAAAAGAACAACUAAACUCACGUUGAUUCAAAAAAAUACCGUGAAUUUAGGGAUUAAGACUCGUUGAUUCCGCAGAAUACCGAGAAUUAACUGUUCAAAUACUCACAAAGAGAUUUGAAAAUUGAAAUAUUAUUAAACUCAAAAUUCUCUGCUUUAAAGGCUACAAGAGGGAGCUAUUUAUAGUAGUAGUAAUUAUCUUAAUUCAUGAAGUAAAACAAAAUCCUAAAUUGAAAGGGAAACAAAAUUCUAAAUUAGAAAGGAAUUAAAAAGUCUUUAAACUUUAGUUAAUAAGGAUACUAAUCCUAGUAUAAUAUGGAUUCCUACUCUUCAUCAUUCCCCCCAGGGUGGAGAGAAUUCGCCCUCGAAUUCGGAGUGUCAACAACCACAUCUUCAUCAUGAUCACCUCUAUAAGGAAUAAGAUGCUUGACAUUAAAUACAUCGGCGGUGCGGAUAUGACUAGGAAGUUUUAACCUGUAGGCAUUAGGAUUUAUCUUCUCUAUAAUCUCCAAAGGGCCGAUUUUCCUAGCAGAAAGCUUGUUGUACUCACCAGCUGAGAAUCUAUCUUUAGUUAGGACAGCCCAAACAAGAUCUCCCACUUGAAAUUCCAAAGCUUGACGUUUUUUGUCUGCCACAAUUUUAUCACCAUGUUCUUCAACAGAUUGAGCGAUACCACUACUAUCAAAAGUUGGCUCUACAGUGAACUCUUCAGUGUCUUCCUCCUGAUAGUCUUCGCUUUCCUCUGUGCCUACGAAUAAGCCUUUACCAUACUUUCCUCCCUUUUUACAUUCUGUCAUUCGGUGCUCAUUUUCUCCGCAAUUAAAACAGCGUAAUCCCGAACCCGAGGAUUGAGUUUUGCUGCUUUGACCGAUUUCACUAGGUUUACUAGUUUUAUUUGGAGGAUUUGGAGGAGUGAAAUUACGAAAUUGGGAAGUUGGGUUUGAAUUAUCACGAACAACACUUCGAGCACCCCGAAAACUUGAGUCAUUAGUACGUCGACUAAAUUGCUUCUCCAACUGCAAGGCUUGUUGGUGUGCCUCUGAAACAGAGUAUGGGUCAAGUAAAUUUAAUUGGUCUUGAAAUUGAGAUCGUAGGCCUCCAAUGUAGCGGAAAUUCUGUAGCUGUUGGUAUAACAGUUUGGCGUAAUUAUGAGGCAAGAAUGCUCCACGCAAGUGUUUCUUGAACUUUUCCCAAGAAUCAAUCUUCUUUUUGCCUUGCCUAAUCCUUGUGAGCUUAGUUUGUUGCUACCAAGCUGCUGCUCUUCCACGAAAUCGAGUUGCGGCAAGCGAAACUAGUUUAUUUUCAGGAACUUCUUUGUAUUCGAAAACUUCCUCAAUAGCGUUAAUCCAAUCCAAUAAUUCUUUAGGUCGACCACUUCCUUGAAAUUCGGGAAUAUCAAUUCUCAACCCAGAUUCCCAUCUUCUGUCAUCAGUAGACUCAGUUCUAGGUCGACGCCUAGAGAAUGGGUUAGCAAAGCUUCCACUUGAUUUGUCUUCACGUUUUGGAGUACGAUGGCGUUCGUCAAGUAACUCUGCCAUUCGUGCCAUUUGUGCAGCUAACAUAUCAAUUCUGGCUGUCAUACUAGCCAAUGCUUCAUCUUUAGAAACAUCUUCUUGAUUGUAAGUUGCAGUAUGAGCAUCACGAGCUUUUCUUGGAGACAUUUUUCAAAUUCGGGUUUAAAAAGGUAGUGGGACUAAACUGAAAGUAAAUAAAAAUUUUAGGCCGAAACUGUAAUUAAGCAAAAGUUUUAGAUUUCCGAUGACGAUGGUCGGAAAUCGAGUAAGGAUGGGUGGAUCUGAAAGAUUUUGGGUUGGUAAGUAUGAUGGUGGUGGUGGUUUGUCCGAAAAAAGUGGUGUUUUGGCCGGAAAUUGUAGAUAAAGCUGACGAUUUUGGAGGGCUUCAGUUUCCGGUGGUUUGAACGUUUGGUGGUAGAUGGAGUUAGAUUGGUGAUACCAGGUUUUGGCUCUGAUACCAAACUGAUGCAGCGGAAGUUUAAAGUUCAAAAUAUUCCGUUGAUUCUAGAGAAUGCCGGAAUAAAAGAACAACUCAACUCACAUUGAUUCAAAAGAAUACCGUGAAUUUAGGGAUUAAGACUCGUUGAUUUCGCAGAAUACCGAGAAUUAACUGUUCAAAUACUCACAAAGAGAUUUGAAAAUUGAAAUAUUAUUAAACUCAAAAUUCUCUGCUUUAAAGGCUACAAGAGGGAGCUAUUUAUAGUAGUAGUAAUUAUCCUAAUUCAUGAAGUAAAACAAAAUCCUAAAUUGAAAGGGAAACAAAAUUCUAAAUUAGAAAGGAAUUAAAGUCUUUAAACUUUAGUUAAUAAGGAAACUAAUCCUAGUAUAAUAUGGAUUCCUACUCUUCAUCAACAUCAUAAGUGAAUGUGAUGUAGGACAAUUGAAGAAAGAAAGAGAGAAAAGAGAAAGGGAUGAGAAAUCAGAAUUGGGAGGUAGUAGGAAGUAAAUGCAUUAUGCUUUAUUAUUCAGUGUAUUUUUUUUUUAAAUAAUUAUUAACUCAUACACACAUUGAAGCUCAAACCCAGGCCCCAAGCCCUAGGAAAGCCGCUCCUUACCACUAGAGCUAGACCUUAGCUUCACAUUUAAAAGUUACACAAGCUUAUUCAUAGGCAUAGGCAUGAAUAAGAAAAAGAUAAAACCCUAAGAUAGUCCAAGAAAAUAAUGGAAAUCCCAUAAGUACAUAUCUCUAACAGAACCUCCAUCAGUAUUAGUUUCAGUAUUUUUAAUCAAAUUGUCCCCAUACCAAUUUAGAUCUUUUCAUCUUUCGUGUCUUUGGCUAAAGAAAUUAUUAACUGUGGCAGGAUGAGUCUACGGAACGAAGGAAUAUUGCAAAUUUUUCUCAUGUGUGGAAUAAAUUCAUAGAAUCUAUGCGGGAGGAGGAUCUGAUCAGCAAUGAGUUAGGACUGCAUCCUUGUUUAAAAAGCUUGUCUUAUAUCGGAGACAUCAUUUAUGAUUUUUUAAUUUUUUCUUUGAUUUAUAAUUGUUUAGGGAUAGAGACUUGUUGCUGGUGCCAUAUUCUUCAAAUGAUGUCUCUGUUACCCAGUGGCCACCUUUUCUGCUUGCUAGCAAGGUAAACUUUUUGAGUGGUUUCUCAUGUUAAUUUAUGCUAUGCUCAAUUUCUAACUUACUUUCUUAUGUCGGAUGUAUAACAGAUUCAUAUUGCAUUAGACAUGGCAAAGGAUUUUAAAGAGAAAGAGGACACUGACUUAUUUAGGAAGAUAAAGAAUGAUGGUUAUAUGCAUUCAGCAGUCAUUGAAUGUUAUGAGACGCUCCGGGAAAUAAUUUAUGGUCUUCUGGAAGAUGAAACUGAUAGGAAGUAAGAGUAAAUUUCCAAUUAUUUCCAAUAUUUCCAUGGAUAAACAGAAGGCUCCUGAUAUUGGAAAUCUCAUUGUUUGUUUCCUUUUUUCUGUUAUGGAGCAGUGUUGUGAAGCAGAUUUGUUAUAACGUAGACAUUAGCAUUCAGCAACACAGGUUCUUGAAUGAAUUUCGCAUGGCUGGGAUGCCUUCACUCUGUGAAAAGUUGGAGAAGUUUGUAAAACUCUUGGUAAUAUUUUUCCUUUAUCUUUUCCUUUUUUACCUUUUUUCUCCUAUUGCUGAGUGCUUCAGCAAUGAAUUUGUAGAUUUAAUUUCAGUUCUGAGUACUCAAGUUGGUUGAUGGGUUGGGUGACAGCUAUCUAAGUAUGAAGAUGUAGACGUAUACAAGUCUCAGAUAAUUAAUUUCCUCCAAGAUAUUAUGAAAAUCAUCCUUCAGGACAUUAUGGUUAACGGCUUUGAGUAAGUGCAAGUGCUGAUGAAUUCAAACUUUGGAUGUAAAACCUAGUUGUACUUAUAUGAUUGAUGAACCUUGAUGAAUUGUAUAUGAUAUGGGUUUCCACUUCUUCCCAUAGAAUCCUUGAAAGAUUUCACACGCAAAUUCAGAAUAAUGAUAAAGAGGAGCAGAUAUUUGAAAAGCUAAAUAUCACCAUUAUGGAGAAUAAAUCUUGGAGGGAAAAGGUACUCUUAUUAGUCAUUUGUUUGUUUCAGUUAUCACUUGAAAAUAUUAUGUUGGGUUCUAGUAUUCUUAUUACAUUCCUCAUUUUCUAUAGGUGGUUAGGCUCCAUUUUCUCUUGACUGUCAAAGAAUCUGCCGUAAAUGUGCCAACGAAUUUGGAUGCACGCCGUCGUAUAACUUUCUUUGCAAAUUCCUUAUUUAUGAAGAUGCCAAGUGCUCCAAAAGUUCGUGACAUGAUCUCCUUUAGGUCAGUCAUUGUUGAACACUUAUUUACUGAAAUAUUGAAGCUUAUCUCACUAGAAAGGAAAAUCCUCUGUAUUAUUUUUAGGGAGCCCCUAUGUUACAAUUAAUGUAACAUACACACUCAACAACAACCACACAAAUAAUAGGCCCACACAAUUUGUGUGGUUGUUGUUGAGUGUGUAUGUUACAUUAAUUGUAACAUAGGGGCUCCCUAAAAAUAAUACAGAGGAUUUUCCUUUCUAGUGAGAUAAGCUUCAAUAUUUCAGUAAAUAAGUGUUCAACAAUGACUGACCUAAAGGAGAUCAUGUCACGAACUUUUGGAGCACUUGGCAUCUUCAUAAAUUAUGUUACAUUAAUUGUAACAUAGCAUUUGCCUUAUUUUUAUGAUGCUGUUAUACUGAACAAUCUGUUUGAGAACCAUCAGUGCUGUAAUUAGAGUGGCAGUAAAGGGUUGAAAGUUCGCGUGUUUCACACGGUUGCAUUAGCAAUUUGCUUCCCCUUUUGGUCACUUAACACUAUUGUCCAUAUCUCUUAUGAAUGUGUUGCCUCUUUCUCUUUCAAUUAUCAUCAAGGAGUCAGAAAUGUGGAUGUUUAUGUUCGUUCUCUCUCUCUCUCUUUCUCUCUCGCUUUUCUUUCUUCUUUUUUUUCCCAAUUUGUUUAAGAGCUGUAUAUGUUCUAUUUUAACAUAGUUUCUUUUUUGAUCCAUGAUAUAGUGUUUUGACACCAUAUUAUAGAGAAGAUGUUCUUUACUCUGUUGAUGAACUUAAUAACGAAAAUGAGGAUGGAAUAUCAACUUUGUUUUACCUACAGAAAAUAUAUCCUGGUGAGUUUUAGAUCCACUGCUGCAAUAUGCAUUGUUGUUGUUUUGAUUGGUAAAAACUUACUGAACAGCUAUGUUUGUCUGGGAAUUAGAUGAAUGGAAGAAUUUGCAAAAGCGCAUAAAUGACCCUAAAUUUAAUUAUUCUGAUGCUGACAAGGAGGAGGCUACUUGUCAUUGGGCAUCUUACAGAGGGCAGACACUUUCUAGAACAGGUCCAUAUGAAAACUUUGAAGUUUAUCUUGUAGUAGAAUGAUUUAUAUAGCUAUUUCAUUAAAUAUAUCUAUAUGUUUCUGCCAGUGAGAGGGAUGAUGUACUACAAGCAGGCUCUUGAACUGCAAUGCUUUCUGGAAUCUGCAGGAGACAAUGGUUUAUGCUUUCUGUCAGAGAAUAAAUUACAAUUCCAAAUUGCCAUCUUCCAUAUUUCUAUUUCAGUAUUGUUCAAAGUUGAUACCAUAGCAUGUUAAAUAAACUGUUAAGAAACUAUUUAUGCAGCAAUUUUUGGUGGCUAUCGGAUCAUGGAAUCAAGUCAGGAAGAUGAAAGGGCUUCUGCGCAAGCUCUGGUCAAUAUGAAGUUUACCUAUGUUGCUUCUUGUCAGAUCUAUGGUGCUCAGAAAAAAUCUGAUGAUUGGAGAGAUCGAAGUUGUUACAAGAACAUUCUACAUCUCAUGAUAAAGUAAGUUUAAUUUGUUGUCUGAUGUACUACACUAUCUCCAUGUGAUUUAGUUUUCAAAUUACAAUCUUUGAAUUAUGUAAACACUGUACAGGUAUCCAUCCCUGCGUGUUGCUUACCUGGAUGAAAGGGAGGAAAUUGUGAAUGGAAAAUCUCAGAAAUUUCAUUACUCCGUGCUUUUGAAGGGAGGUGAUAAGUAUGAUGAGGUAUGAAUAGUAAUCAGUAGUUUGAUGUAGAAUUCACAUGCUUGAAGACGUAUUUUCUAAAUGGCUAAUGUUAGAUAGGUACUUACAGUGGUUAGUAGUUAGUUCAACUUGUAAGAUAUGUUUGAAUGAUGCAAGACAUUUAGAGUGAACCCUAUUCUGAUCGCAGGGAGAAGGGAUUUGGACUGCUUUUGUGAAAUAUUUAGUAUAAAAUAUGAACUUUCUUUAUUAAAGGAGAAAAAGAUGGAUGCUUUCAGUUAGUUGUUUAAUCUUAUAACUUCAAUCAUUGGCAUUGUCCAUUUACUUUUAAGAGACUUAAUUUUUCAAAACCAUCUAGUUAAGUAAUUUAUUCAUUAGUAACAAGGUAUAAAAUCAUGUUCCUGAUUCUUUAUGUGUAGUUGGACACUAGGAAAAACUUUAGUUGGUAACUUUCUUCUGUUAAGAUUGUUGUUAGUUUUGUUUGUAGGUGCCUCUCUUGUGUCUUAUGUGUGACCUAUAUUAUUGGAUGAGUUACAUUAGUUUUAGGGUUUGCUGACCAUUUCUAUGUGGCCUUAUAUUCAGUUGUGAGUCAGACUUAUGAUUGCUGAAUAAAGAUGAUGUUUUCCCUCUCAAUUUCCUCGGUUUAUUCUCCUCUUUUCUUUUCUCUCUAUUGGUUCUACACCAAUUAUUCUUCUAUCUUAUCAUAUCUUUAGUUUGGUGUUGCAUUGUCAAUACAAUUACUCUAUUUCCACCAAGAUAUAGCAUUUUAACUUCAUGAUGUGAAAUGCAAUUGUUCCAUUAUAAAAUGUUAGCAUACCAAAAUGUUGGUUUGCUAGAUUCUCCUUUCAUCAUCCAGUUAUUGAGAAUUUUUUUUUUUUUUAAAAAAAAAAAAAGAGAAGUGAAAAAAAGAGAGAAUCCUCAAUAAGCAAGGUUAAAUUGAGUGGAGCAUGCAGAGGGGAAAUACAGUUAGCGCCCUUUUCCGUACCAGUACAAAUAGAGUGUUCCGAUAGCCAACCCAAAUUGUGAGUAAGAGUUUUUUUGUCAUAAGGUUGAGCUUUAGCAUAAAGUUGAGUUAAGUCUACUUCCUAACGACAUUUGCUUUGAAUUUCCACCUACUUUAGUGAUACUCAUGCAUGCACUGUUCCCAAGGGGACAACACAGUUGGUUUGUCCUCUUGGAGUGGAAGCAAAAGGUCAAGGGAUCGCAACCCCCCUUGCACUCCGGCCUUGGCAGGAGGAUGGAGUGGAGCGCAUGGUAACUGAAAAAUACACUAACACAUUGAAUGAGCAUGUCCUUCUGCCUAACUAUAGUUCAAGAUCAUGGGCUUUUUUAUGUCAUUCAGAUAAAGAACUACAAAGAAAUGUCAACGACAAUGCUUGUUUGCGAGGAGUUCUUUCCCAUCUCUUGUUAGAAAUUGCUUUUAAUAUCCCUGGAUUAUUGUCUGUAUUGCUAGGAAAUAUAUCGGAUCAAGCUUCCAGGACCUCCAACAGUUAUUGGUGAAGGAAGACCUGAGAAUCAAAACCACGCCAUUAUCUUUACUCGUGGAGAAGCGUUGCAGACCAUAGACAUGAAUCAGGUAACUUUCGUUCUCCUUCUGCCUUCUUUUAAGAUAUAGUAACAAGUGGUUCAAUGUGUGUUCCCGUGCUUGUCUCUUUUCCCAGGACAAUUACUUUGAGGAGGCUUUCAAAAUGAGAAAUGUAUUGGAGGAAUUCCUGAAGUCUACUUCUGGGCAGAGAGAACCUACAAUAUUGGGUCUGAGGGAGCAUAUUUUUACCGGAAGGUCAGCCUAACAACACCCAUUUUAUCUUGAUGAAUUUGGGAAAAAGUGUUGUUUACACAAUCAGCAAGUGUAUUUAUAUAUGCUACUUUCUCCCGUCUAUGUUAUACAGUGUGUCAUCACUUGCAUGGUUCAUAUCCAACCAAGAGACUAGCUUUGUCACUAUUUCCCAACGAAUUUUAGUAAAUCCUUUGAGGUAAGCCUUAAUCUAUUUUAAAUCACUGCUUAAUUGUUCUUGCAUUUAAUCCUUUUAAUCGUUACAUUGGACUUCAUCCUUAUGGAACUGGGAUUUUGUGUUUUAUGUGCAAACAUUUUUUUCCUUUUACCUCAGUAUGGCCACAAAAGGUGGGUGGUAGGUUUGAAUCAACAUUUACUGGUAUGAAGUGUAUUUGAAUGUAUGAUACUCCAAAAUUUGUUUAUAUUCAGAGCUUGUAAGUUAAUCUGAUAGUUGUGCCAACACAUGUUUGUGUUUGAAACCUCUUGUACUAUUAUCUCUGUUGUCCCAUUCUAUUGUUAGACACAAAUGUAUCUGCAUUGUCCAGUUACACAGUUGUUUAACUUAGCCACUUGUCUUCUAACCUCGGUCUAGUUUCCUGAUGUCCAACUACAUGCUGGAAAACACUUUAGCCUAUGGAAACCCUAAAAUAUGAUUUUCCCAUCCCAAACCAUCAAGUAGCAGAAAAAGUUUCCAUCCUAAUUAUCUUCCAGGUACACAUUAACAAAGUUCUAUGAUGUUGGCUGCUUCCCACAUCAUUAGUUCCAAACACAUGAAUAGCACUGCAAAAUGUGAAGCCAAAUCAAAAUUAACACUCAAAACACUACAGCUACUGGUAACACCAACGGGUUUAGUUGACUGGUAAAAGACCCUUGGAUUCAACCAAGAAAUCAGGGGUUCAAAGCCCAUUGGGGCCGCCUUACAUUGGGUAUUUGUUUCAUUGUUCUUCUAUAUAUCCCAAUAUCUCUCGACCUUUUGUGUUCACUGAAUUCUAAAUUGGGAAUAUGCUGCCAGACACUACAAGCUCGAUAGCUUUGUUAAUGGGGUCAACCUGCAUUGGAUAGAAACGUAAUCCUGAAAUUAAGUUCUUAUGCAUCCAAGGGGAAAAAGGAAAGACUCGUGGGCUGUAAACAUCCCAGAUAGCUGACCCCAAGGGGUUUUGGACUGAAUCCAAAUGUACCGCUCCAUCCAACCUCUUGGGGUUCUCUUUUACAAAUAAGCUAUGUUGCAACUGUAGAUCAGUUAAAAGUUUAUGGAUGUUAGGCAAAAAAGCAAAGUCGUGGGAAGAAUAAUUUGCGGAAAGCUUAUUUCUGUCUUUCUACUAUUGGAGGUCCUUUUAAAUGUUUCAUAUUAACUUUGUAGGGUACGUUUUUACUAUGGUCAUCCUGAUAUAUUUGACCGAAUCUUCCACAUAACAAGGGGUGGCAUUGGAAAGGCUUCAAGGGUGAUUAACUACGGUGCGGAUAUAUAUGCAGGUAAUAUUUAGUUCUUCAGAAUAUAUCAACUUAGAAAUCUAUUCUGAUGGCUAAUUGUGUUGAAAUCUUCAGGGAUGAAUUCAACUCUCCGUGGAGGAUACAUAACACAUCACGAAUAUAUUCAAGUAGGCAAGGGGCGUGACAUGGGUAUGAAUCAAUUAUCAUUAUCUGAGGCAAGGGUUGCAGGUGUUAAUGGAGAGCAGACAUUUAGUCGUGAUGUUUACCGGCUCGGGCACUGUUUUGACUUCUUUAGAAUGCUUUCAUUCUACUUUACAACAGUUGGAUUCUACCUUAGUAGCAUGGUAUGUUAACCAAACUAGUCUCAUUGUUUAAAUGUUUCUUAGGAGCUCCAAUAGAUUUAUAGUUCACGCCUUCGUGAUACCUAUUACUUGUUGAGUUUCUGCACCAAUCAACAUUGUACAAUGAUAGUCUCUUGAAACAAUUUUUUUUCUUUUCAUAUAAAAUUUAUGAUUUAAAUCAAUUCAAUAUAUGUAUUGUCACUUAUCCAAGGCUGUCUUUUUCAGGUAAUUGUGCUAACUGUGUAUGUGUUCUUGUAUGGACGUUUAUACUUGGUUAUGAGUGGAUUAGAAAGAGAGAUUCUUGAGAAUCCAGGCAUGCAUCAAAGCAUGGCCCUCGAAGAGGCUUUGGCUACACAGUCUGUCUUUCAGCUUGGUUUGUUAUUGGUUCUUCCAAUGGUUAUGGAAAUUGGCCUCGAAAAAGGGUUUUGCAGUGCUCUCUGUGAUUUUAUCAUCAUGCAGCUGCAGCUGGCUUCUGUAUUCUUCGCAUUUCAGCUCGGAACAAAAGUGCAUUAUUUUGGCAAAACAAUCUUACAUGGAAGCUGUAAAUAUCGAGCUACUGGUCGAGGAUUUGUUGUUUAUCAUGCAAAGUUUUCUGAGAACUACAGGCAGUACUCCCGAAGUCACUUUGUGAAAGGACUGGAGCUGGUUAUACUAUUGGUCUUGUAUGAAGUAUAUUGGCAUUCGUAUCGCAGUUCAAAUAAAUUUUACUUGUUUAUCACACUCUCUAUGUGGUUCCUGGUUGGCUCCUGGUUGUUUGCUCCUUUUGUGUUCAAUCCAUCUGGUUUUGACUGGCAAAAAACAGUAGAUGAUUGGACGGAUUGGAAGAGGUGGAUGGGAAAUCGUGGUGGUAUUGGCACCCUGCCCUAUAGAAGUUGGGAAUCAUGGUGGGAUGAAGAACAAGAACACCUCAAAUUCUCAAAUAUAAGGGGAAGGAUUCUUGAGAUUAUCCUUGUUUUUCGCUUCUUCAUUUACCAGUAUGGAAUUGUCUACCACCUUGAUAUAGCUCAUCGUGGCAAGAAUACUGUGGUAUAGUUCAUUACUGUCUGAUAAUAAAUUUUGCUUAUUGGUCUGCAAAUUCUUUUGUUAUGGCAUAUAUUUGCUAUAUUUAUCAUAUUCUCCAAUUUUUUUUUUAAGGUGUAUGGACUCUCUUGGCUAGUUCUAGUAACCACCCUUCUAGUUCUGAAGGUAUGGAAACGAAAUUCGCUUGUACUGAGGGGAUGAACCUUUACCCCACAUAUUGUGGAGGAAGUAUGCAUAUUAUUAAGUAGUGUUCUUGUGUUUUUGUUUUUUCUGUUCUUGUUAGAUGGUAUCAAUGGGCGGACGAAGAUCUGGUGCCGAGUUUCAGCUCAUGUUCAGGAUUAAAGCACUUGUUUUCCUUGGCUUCAUGUCAGUCAUGACCGUCUUAUUUGUAGUAUGCAGUCUCACCAUAUCAGAUUUAUUUGCCUGCAUGCUUGCUUUUCUGCCUACUGGGUGGGCCAUUUUACUGGUAAGUUUGAACUUCAACUACUUUUGGUAGUACACAGUAUAAGCCAAAUCUAUAAUCUGGGUUACUUUUUCAAUGUAUUCCCUUUUUCAGUAUGUUCCAAAUUGAUCAUCAUAUUGCGAUCCUAAGUGCAUGCAAUAAAACCUACUCAUGUGAAUUACUGCAUUGUACUUGAUGAAAUGCUUUUUUUUGUCUCCUCUUAGCUUAACUUUAUUCACUAUCCAACUUCGCUGCCUAGUGUUUACUUUUAUACCUAAAAAACUCACUCUCACAAUCCUAAAAUCUUUCUUCUUUUCUAGAAAAACUGCAUGAUUGUUAUUUUUCAUCACACACUAUCCAAUUAACUACAGUCCUUUAAUACAUAUAACUAUGAACUACACUGCUUGCUAAAUCAUAUUUCAUUUUGCUUUGUCGUUUCCAGAUUGGGCAAGUUUGCAGGCCAUUGUUCAAGGCAAUAGGGCUCUGGGAUUCAGUAAAGGAGCUGGCGAGAGCGUAUGAGUACAUAAUGGGAUUGCUACUCUUUGCACCCAUAGCCAUUUUAUCGUGGUUCCCGUUUGUAUCCAAGUUCCAAACACGCCUGCUCUUCAAUCAAGCAUUCAGCAGAGGUCUCCGGAUUUCUAUGAUUCUCCUCAGGAGAAAGGACAGGACCAAGACAUUUUCUGGAAAAUCUACAUGAUUGUUAUUUUUCAUCACACUCGCUAAAUUAAAGAAAUCAAUUAGGAUGGGACUACAGAUAACUGAUGAACAGUGCUUGCUAAAUCAUAUUUCAUUUUGGUUUGUCCUUACAAGUUUGGGCAAGUUUGCAGGCCAUUGUUUAAGGCAAUAGGAUUUUGGGAUUCAACAAAGGAGCUAGGCAGACCACGAGUACCUAAUGAGAUUGCCAGUCUUCGCGCCCAUAGCCAUUUUCUCGUGGCUUCCAUUCGCAUCUGAGUUCCAAACACGCCUGCUCUUCAAUCAAGCAUUCAGCAGAGGUCUCCAGAUUUCUAUGAUUGUCACCAGGAGAAAAGACUGAGACAGCAACAAAUUGAAGUUCAUAGUAUCACACAUUUUAAUCCCUUUAUUUAAUGUUGUUUUGUAGUCAUCAAGUUGAAGUAAUUAAGGUGUUGUUUGGUAUUGAGGUGUUGUAACUACAAUUAUUGUGAAAAAAACUGUAAUUAUAAAAUAAAAAUAAAUAGUAUGUAGUAAAUAUGAUUUUUAAUAAUAAUUUUGAUAAAAAUAUUAAAAAUAUUAUUUCAUCAUACAAGUUGUGGAUUAAAUUAACUUAAUUUUUAAAUUACAAUAAUUAGUAUUUAUUGAAUAUUUCAGUGCUAUAACUAGAAAGUGAUAAGCUGCUCCACUUAAAUACCAAACUAAACAUAACCCACCUUUAGAAAAUCCAACUUUGUUGAUUUUUUCUUUUUUUCAUAUGUAUUUAAAGAAAAUUAGAAGCUGCUUUUUUAUCACCAAUGAUUCUUAAAUUGUACCUAUCAGGAUUGAAUAUUGAUUUGUAAAUGACCAUCUUGGUUUCAUGUGUGCUAAAUUUUCUAGCCGUUUGCAUCACGUCACGCGUCUAAAAAACAAGAAAAAAAAGCGAAAGUUAAAAGAACUUUAAAAUUAAGGGAGAAUUUUGAAAUAGAUGGCCCAGUUGGUGUAAAGAAACUUAUGUGUCACAAUUAAAGAGGUUCGGCGAAAACAGUUAGGAAAUUGGAGUGGUCCCACCCAGUUACCCACCGUGCAUAUACUUCAAAAUCGUAUACAGUUUAGUUUCUCAGUUGGGUGUGUUGUGUUCAUGUUUGGCUGUGUUGUGAAAUUAACCCUUUAAUCACUGAAUUAAUCACAUCCUAAGGUCUAACUCAAACUCAAAGACUCAAGAAUUAAACCUUAGCUUAUCGAAACAACUCACAGAUCAAAGAACACAGCUCAAACAAAUCAAGGACACACAAGAACUUAAGUAGUUCAACACCUUUGAGAGUGCCUACAUCCACUAGAGAAAACAACACAGGGAGCAACUUUAUUAAGCUUCAAGGUUACAAAGUUGAUAACUCGCAAUACAGAGAACACUCACAAAGCUUAACUCUCACUAUGGCUGCCUUAUCAAUCUCACCUCGAUAUCACAAGAUUACACCAGAACCAGCUUGUAUAUAUAUCUGUUAUACAGGCAUAACAGAUCCAGAAAUUUCCCUCCAAAUUCAACAGCCUUAACCAACUUGAUCACGAGCUCCUCACGCACCACUUUAAAGCCUUCCCUAAACGACUGCUAGCUAUGUCGUUUAAGCUUAUAGCAGGAGUGUGUUAAUCACGUGAGGUUUAAUGGUUUUGUACGACAUUAUCAAGUUGUCAGUUCUGGAAUCUUGUUCAACUGAAAUGACAUGUCACUCAUCUUCACAACUUACAGAGGUCUCCAGAUUUCUAUGAUUGUCACCAGGAGAAAAGACUGAGACAGCAACAAAUUGAAGUUCAUAGUAUCACACAUUUUAAUCCCUUUAUUUAAUGUUGUUUUGUAGUCAUCAAGUUGAAGUAAUUAAGGUGUUGUUUGGUAUUGAGGUGUUGUAACUACAAUUAUUGUGAAAAAAACUGUAAUUAUAAAAUAAAAAUAAAUAGUAUGUAGUAAAUAUGAUUUUUAAUAAUAAUUUUGAUAAAAAUAUUAAAAAUAUUAUUUCAUCAUACAAGUUGUGGAUUAAAUUAACUUAAUUUUUAAAUUACAAUAAUUAGUAUUUAUUGAAUAUUUCAGUGCUAUAACUAGAAAGUGAUAAGCUGCUCCACUUAAAUACCAAACUAAACAUAACCCACCUUUAGAAAAUCCAACUUUGUUGAUUUUUUCUUUUUUUCAUAUGUAUUUAAAGAAAAUUAGAAGCUGCUUUUUUAUCACCAAUGAUUCUUAAAUUGUACCUAUCAGGAUUGAAUAUUGAUUUGUAAAUGACCAUCUUGGUUUCAUGUGUGCUAAAUUUUCUAGCCGUUUGCAUCACGUCACGCGUCUAAAAAACAAGAAAAAAAAGCGAAAGUUAAAAGAACUUUAAAAUUAAGGGAGAAUUUUGAAAUAGAUGGCCCAGUUGGUGUAAAGAAACUUAUGUGUCACAAUUAAAGAGGUUCGGCGAAAACAGUUAGGAAAUUGGAGUGGUCCCACCCAGUUACCCACCGUGCAUAUACUUCAAAAUCGUAUACAGUUUAGUUUCUCAGUUGGGUGUGUUGUGUUCAUGUUUGGCUGUGUUGUGAAAUUAACCCUUUAAUCACUGAAUUAAUCACAUCCUAAGGUCUAACUCAAACUCAAAGACUCAAGAAUUAAACCUUAGCUUAUCGAAACAACUCACAGAUCAAAGAACACAGCUCAAACAAAUCAAGGACACACAAGAACUUAAGUAGUUCAACACCUUUGAGAGUGCCUACAUCCACUAGAGAAAACAACACAGGGAGCAACUUUAUUAAGCUUCAAGGUUACAAAGUUGAUAACUCGCAAUACAGAGAACACUCACAAAGCUUAACUCUCACUAUGGCUGCCUUAUCAAUCUCACCUCGAUAUCACAAGAUUACACCAGAACCAGCUUGUAUAUAUAUCUGUUAUACAGGCAUAACAGAUCCAGAAAUUUCCCUCCAAAUUCAACAGCCUUAACCAACUUGAUCACGAGCUCCUCACGCACCACUUUAAAGCCUUCCCUAAACGACUGCUAGCUAUGUCGUUUAAGCUUAUAGCAGGAGUGUGUUAAUCACGUGAGGUUUAAUGGUUUUGUACGACAUUAUCAAGUUGUCAGUUCUGGAAUCUUGUUCAACUGAAAUGACAUGUCACUCAUCUUCACAACUUAAAAACGACAAGUUGUUCUGACGAGUUUGAGUUCAUUUCAACAAUCUCCACCUUGAACUCAACACUCAUAGCUCCCUCUUUUCACAUUGUCUUCUCCCCAUCUGCAGCUUCUUAAAACCUACAGAUACCUGCUAAGUUCAUGCAAAGGAUGAACUUGGCACUAGGCACAACCUUGGUUAACAUGUCAGCUGGAUUUUCUUCAGUAUGAAUCUUCAGCAACUUUAUAGCUCCCCUUGACACCUCAAGUCUCACAAAAUGCAAUUUAACAUCUAUAUGUUUUGUUUUCUCGUAAUGAGAUUGAUUCUUGUUAAGAUGUAUAGCACUCUGACUGUCACUGUAUACCGUUACAGAUUCUCGCUUAGCUCCCAACUUAGAUGUCAUGCCUUUCAGCCAAAUUGCUUCUUUGAAAGCUUCAGCUGCUGCAGUAUACUCAGCCUCUGUAGUGGACAAAGCCAUUACAUUAUGUAAUGUUGCUUUCCAGCUAACUAUGCAGCCUCCCAAAGUAAACAAAUACCUUAUUUGUGACCUUCUUUUAUCAAGAUCACCAGCAAAGUCAGCAUCUACAUAACCAAUUAAUGUGUGUCCAUUCUUACCUUCUCCACCAUAGACCAAACCAACCUCCAGAGUUCCCUUCAGAUACCUCAUAAUCCACUGAACAGCUCUCCAGUGUUCAUAUCCUGGAUUUGCCAUAAACCUGCUCACCAAACUCACAGCAUAUGAGAUAUCAGGUCUGGUGAGUACCAUGGCAUACAUGAGGCUACCUACUGCACUUGAGUAGGGUAUACAAGCCAUUUUUUAUUGUUCUGCCUCAGUUUGAGGACACUGGGCAGCAGACAACUUGAAGUGGCUUGCCAAUGGUGUCUGAACUUGCUUAGCAUCAUUCAUUCCAAACCUCACCAGAACCUUCUUAAUGUAGCUUUGUUGAGUUAAGAACAAAAAUUUCUUGCUCAUGUUCCUGAUGAUAUCCAUCCCCAUAAUUCUCUUAGCUUCUUCAAGUUACUUCAUUUCAAAUUCCCUGCUUAAAAGUUUCUUUAAAUGAUUGAUCUCUUCCUUGUCAUGGCAUGCGAUCAGCAUGUCAUCUACAUACAGCAGAAGAUAUAUCAUUCCCCUUCCACUUGUCUCUUUGAAGUACACACAGCAAUCAUAGUUGCACAUGUUGAAGGCAUGUGUUAUCAUGAAGUUGUCAAACUUCAGAUACCAUUGCCUAGGUGAUUGUUUUAACCCAUAUAGAGACUUUUUAAGUAAGCAGACACAAUCUUCUUUACCAGAUGUCACAUACCCUUUAGGCUGUUGUAUUACAAUUUCCUCUUGUAAUUCACCAUGCAGGAAGGUUGUUUUUACAUCCAUCUGCUCAAGAUGCAUAUCCUGAACAGCCACAAGUGCAAGAAUAAUUCUGAUGGAAGCAUGUCUCACUACAGGGGAAAAUACUUUAGUGAAGUCAAUUCCCUCCUUUUGUGUGAAGCCCCUUGCCACCAAUCUGGCCUUAAAUCUUCUAAGUUCAGCACUAGGUAUCUCAUCUUUAAUCUUGAAGAUCCAUUUACAGCUUACUGUCUUCCUCUUAGCUGGUUUUUCAAUCAAUUCCCAGGUCUUGUUUUUCAUCAGGGAUGCCAUCUCUUCAUCCAUUGCCCUCUUCCAUUCCAGCUUGUUUUUACCUGUGAUAGCUUCCUGAUAAGUUCUAGGUUCAUCAUCAUUCAGCUCUUGAGCAGCAGUCAAAACAUAUGCAAUCAAAUCAGCCACUGCAUAUCUUUUAGGUGGUCUUAUUGUCCUUCUCUUUCUGUCUCUUGCCAGCUGAUAGACGUCCUCUUCACUUUCUGCUGAUUCAUGUUCAACACCAGCUUCAGGUUCUAUUUUAGCACCUUCAAUUUCAGGCUCAAGUUCUUUCAAGUUAUGAGGCUCCACCUGAAACUUCACUUUAUUAGUUUCAGCACCUGAUUCAGUGUUGUUAAUAGGGCUCCUUGGUCUAUUCAAAAACUCAUCUUCAUGGAAAAUUACAUCUCUGCUUAUGAUGCACUGUGGUGGUUUUGAGUCAACACACCACAAUCUAUAGCCUUUGACACCCUUUGGAUACCCCCAAAAACCUGUAUUUUAAUGCUCUUGGUUCUAGCUUACCCUGUUUUACAUGAGCAUAUACUGUGCAGCCAAAGAUUCUGAGUUUUGUAUAAUCAACCAUUCUCCCUUACCAUAGUUCCAUUGGUGUUUUACAACCUAUAGCAGUUGAUGGGCUCAUGUUGACUAGGUAGCAUGCUGUAUUUAAGGCUUCUUCCCAAAGGGUUUUUGGAAGCUUAGAAUAGAUCAGCAUGCACCUUACCUUCUCCACCAAAGUUCUAUUCAUCUUCUCAGCAAGACCAUUUUGUUGAGGAGUAUAGGUGAUAGUUUUGUGCCUCUGAAUACCAUUCUUCUCACAGAAUUCUUCAAACAACUUAUUGCAGUACUCCAAGCCAUUAUCUGUCCUCAGAGUUUUCACCUUCAAACCAGUUUGGUUUUCAAUAAAAAUCUUCCACUUUUUGAAUUUUUCCAGAACCUCAUCUUUACUUUUAAGUGCAAAGACCCAAAUCAUCCUUGAAAAAUCAUCUAUAAAAGUCCAAAAGUAUCUACACCUACCUAGUGAAUUCACUUGUGCAGGCCCCCACAAAUCAGAGUGUAUGUAUCCAAGUUUCUCUUUGGUGGUAUGAGCUGCAGUCUCAAACCUUAGCCUGGAAGACUUUCCUAAUAUACAGUCUUCACAGAACCCCAAAGCUUCCAUCUGAUCUUUCCCAAACACUUCUUGAUUUUGUAGCUCUCUCAAACCUCUUUCACUCAUAUGCCCCAUCCUCAAAUGCCACAACAUUGAUUUGUUCCCUCUAUUGUCAGUUAUAUUUGCCUCUCCAACAGCAGGGCAAUCUCUUUUAAAAUGCCAUUCUUUAUGGCAAUGGAAACACUUCAAAUUUCUCUAUUUAGACUUUGAUCUGCCUUGUUUCUUUCACUUGCUUUCUCUCUUCUCAGGUCUGCCUCUAGCCAUCAGUCCCUCACUUGAUUCACUUUCUGGAUUAUCUUGCUUAUCUUUCAGUUUCUUGGUGCCAAGAGCAGAUUUGACCUCUUCCGGGGAGAGUGUUUGCCUCCCAUACAGCAAUGCAUCCACAAAGUGCUCGUAUGACUUUGGUAAAUAACUAAUUAGUAGCAAAGUUUUGCUCUCAUCACUCAGUCCUUCAUCAAUAGUCUCCAGUUCAUCACAAACCUUAUUGAACUCGUCUAUAUGCUCAUUUGAUGAUAUGCCCCUUUAAUCAUCUUCAGUGAGAACAUCUUCUUUUUUAUGUAAAGUCUAUUUGCCAAAGACUUUGUCAUAUACAGAUUCUCCAACUUGGCCCAUAAACCAGCAACAGUCUUUUCUUUAGCCACUUCUCGAAUUACAGAGUCACCAAGACUUAGAAUGAUUGUGCUUCUGGCUUUCUUGUCUAUCUAUGCUACUUGUUCUGGGGUCUUAGAUGAUGAAGCCUCACUUCCUUCAAGCUUAGAGACUGGAUCUAUGGCUUCUCCCAGGCCUUGAGCAAUCAGCAAAGCCUCCAUCUUGAUCUUCCACAUGUUAAAAUCAUUUUGCCCCGUAAACUUCUCAAGAUCCACUUUUGAGCCCAUUCUUGAACCUUGAAAUCAGAGUUAAGGCUUUGAUACCAAUUGUUGUGAAAUUAACCCUUUAAUCACUGGAUUAAUCACACCCCAAGAUCUAACUCAGACUCAAAGACUCAAGAAUUAAACCUUAGCUUAUCGAAACAACUCACAGAUCAAAGAACACAGCUCAAACAAAUCAAGAACACACAAGAACUUAAGUGGUUCAACACCUUUGAGGGUGCCUACAUACACUGGAGAAAACAACCAAAACCAGCUUGUAUAUAUAUCUGUUAUGCAGGCAUAACAGAUCCAGAAAUUUCCUUAUAAAUUCAACAGCCUUAACCAACUUGAUCACGAGCUCCUCACGCACCACUUUAAAGCCUUCCUUAAACGACUGCUAGCUAUGUCGUUUAAGCUUAUAGCAGGAGUGCGUUAAUCACGUGAGGUUUAAUGGUUUUGUACGACAUUAUCAAGUUGUCUCAAGUUGUCGGCUCUAGAAUCUUGUUCAACUGAAAUGACAUGUCACUCAUCUUCACAACUUAAAAACGACAAGUUGUUCUGACGAGUUUGAGUUCAUUUCCACAGGCUGCCACGUGUCUCUUGUGCUUCCAUUCUAAGUUGUUUCGUGAUUCAGUAUGUAAUUCUGCUCGAUUGAUAUUAUAUUUUACAGGAGCAAGCCCAGAGCCCAUUCCACAUGACAAGGCAAUGAGCAGCUGCCAAAAGUUUUUUAGAGUACGCAUCGAUUCAUAUCCUCUUCAUCCUUUAAUUUUUUGUCAGCAAAGGCCUUCACUUGACUUUCAUCACCAGCCAAUGCUCCAGGAUUUUUUACGGCAAAAGAUUUAGUAUAUGUCAUUGUCUCAGUGGAAAAUGUUAGUGAUAACCUGUAUGCAUCCUCCCUCUGGUCUUUGAUUGAAUGUAAUUCUAAGAGAUGAGUAAAGUAGAAGCGGCAGCAGAUCAUGAAUGUAAUGAUUCGCGCCCAUAAUGUAAUUAUAAUGAUCAAGAGAUAGGCCGCAAUGGUCAAAGCAACAUCUGAAAAAGCCUUCAAGCACUUCUUAUCAUUAGCUGAAUUUGACUCUGAUUCUUACCAGAGACAUGAACAAAAGAACACAAAAAUUGGCAGCGGUGCAGCAAUUAGAAGGCAAGUGCUUGGAUGGCCCUUCCAUAUGGUGUCAUAAGCUUGGAUUAAUGCUUGCCCUUCCCCACCAAGAGUAUUCAAGAUCUUUUGUCAUGCCCAGGGGCGGAUUCACCUUAGGACCAGUGGGGACUUAAGCCCCCACUGGAAAAAAAAAAUUUUAAUAAUUAAUUUAGUUUUCAUAAAAUUCUCAAUAAUUUUUUCUAAAGCCCCCACUAAUUUAUAGUCAAGCCUACAAUACAUAAUUAUACUUAAAUUCUCACAUUCUAAUUUUUUAAAUUCAAAUAAAAAAAGAUGGACUUUGCAAACUAAAAUCAAACUCAUAAAUAUUAAUAUUAAUUUAAUUUUUAAACGGCCCACAAACUCAUUAAUAAUUUUUUUUAUUAAUCUUACUUUUCCAAUUCCACUACUAAUCCAACGCCCAUAAAAAAUUCCUAAACAUUUACUUAUUUUGGUUGUUUACAUAGAAAAAAUUUUAUUUAAUAACAUUGAUAAUGAAGUUAUAAUACAAUGUAUCAAUGUAUAGUACAAUGUAUCAAUCUUUUAAAUUUAUAUUUUUAUUACUUUUAAAAAAAAUUUAUGUUACUGUUGAAUAAGCCCCCAGUGAAUCACUAUGCUGUCUCCGCCCCUAGUCAUGCCCCCUCGUGCCCCCAAUUUUUUUAUUUUUUUUUGGUUUAUUAGUUUUUAAUACUAAAAACUCUUACUCUUCGUAGAAUGUAAUCUGACAUAACACUAUAACAUGUGAAUAAAACUCAAAAUUAUGAAAGUAAAUAAUGUAAUAUAUGCAGUGUUUUUAUGCAACCAAUAUAAUUAUAUGUGGCAUUGAUUUAUAUAAAAUAGUUUGUAGAAUAAAAUUUAUGACUCCAACAUUAUUUAUAAUUUAACAAAUAGAUAAGUGACUAGUUAAUCUAGUAGAUUUAAAUAGCAUCACACCCUUUUUCUUUUUUAAAUAGAGUUGAUUAUGGUCCAUUGCUAGAAUUUAAAAACUUCCGUAGCUCAUAGUGAAUCAAAAAAUUACUGUAGCCUAUUAAUAAUAUUAUGAAAAGUUUCAAAAGCAACAAGAAAUUAACCCUCAAAAUUAUUUCUUCAAGUUUACUUGUAUAUAUAAUAUAUAUGACAUGAGCAUAAUGACAAAUUGCUUAUCGUCUCAAACCUAUCAUCAAAAAAAAAAAAAAAUUGUAACGUGACAGCUAUAAAUGUUUCAAAGCACUAUGUAUUACCUAAUUCUAAUAAUUCAGCUAUAAUUGUUUUCAAAUUACGAUGUAUUACCUAAUUCAACCUCUGUAUUAAGAUUUGUCUUAAAUUAUUAUUGGACUUUUAUCUAUUGGCUUGAACUUUUGAGCUAAACAAUUUUUCUAAAAUGGUAUUAGAAGUAAAGUCUCAAGUUUGAAUCUGAACUUCACAUGCAAAAUCUUUAAACAAUUUCUUAAAUUUUAUAACUCAUUUUGAGGCUCUUAUUCUUUUUGGUCCAUCUAGGAGUUUCUAUCUUCAAUUCAUAAGGAAUGUCAUCCCUUUUAAGUAAGCAAUUUCAACACGAAUUGUGGUAAAAAUUUCAGUAAAAAAAUUGGGCGCACUGAGAUAACAUUCUACAAUGGCGACAACAAGAAUUCGCCGCACUCCAACCAUUUGUUUAUUAAAACGAAGACACUGAAGAAACACAUCCGCAAAACACAGAAACAAACCAAGUAGCAGUAGAGUAAAACACAAGCCCCAAGAUUAAAAAACUCAGCCAAAAGCAGAGACUUAUUCAACACAAAUUAAGUAGCUAAUAAAGCUCAAGGACUUUCUUCCAGGAUAGCCUGUUGCUAAUAUCAUCCCACCAGGCACUCACAUGCUUCCUGUCUCUAAUCAUAUACUCCUUCUCCAUCGGCCCAACCAAGUAUUGAGUAAAUGGAAGGUGGCUCAGAUCAGCCAGGCUGAAGAAAUCCCCGGCCAAAUACUUGCUCUUCGACAGCCUCUCCUCGUAAACGUCGAGAACUUUUCCAAGCUUUUCCUCGCUCUCCUUUAUCAAAUUCUCAUCGGCAGGAAGUCCCCUCUUCGCGAAAAAUAAAAUUUGCGUGGUCAUCUGGUAAAUUGGUGGGUGAAAGUUGUGUGCCUCUACUUCCAGCCAUUGUUCCACCAGGCCUCUUUCUUCAACUGUUCUUCCCAGAAGAUCGGUUGUUCCUUGAGACUUGUACUUCUCGGCAUAAUACCUUAUGAUAGCUCGCGAUUCUGCAAAUGAAUCAAUACCUGAAACGUUAAACUUAUAACUACAAUAUAAAACUUCUGAAGUUGAAAGUUACCUGUGCCAUGUUUAAGUUCGUAAUUAGUUAAUUAAAAGAAUACAUCUCCUUCAAGUCUCUAGAGUUUUUCCAAGAUAUUUGUGCAAUUAUUUUCAUAGUUGAUCCAUCUAACUUUUUCAAUAAUUAAUUUUUCUGAUAUAAUUUAAACAUCAAUAAAAUUGAUAUGCAGUAAAUAAGAACUAAAAAAUAACUAAAUGAAUUGCAAAGAAAACAGAUAUACCAAGACCCAACUAUCUGGUCAAUUAACUCAAACCUAAAAGUUAUUUUGCUCUUACUUAAAUUUCACAUUUCAGUAUAUGUGAAAACGAAAGGUGUACCGUAUAGAGUAAAAUCUCCAUCUUGAAUAACUGGAAGGGAUCCAAAAGGCUGCACAUAUUAUUUUGUCAAAAUUGAAAGCAAAAGAGUUAAUUAAUUAAUUAAUCAAAGCAAAUCAAGACACACGAUCUUCAAUAUAGAAGUUAAAUAAUUUAUAUAUACAUAAUAAUAAAAAUGAUGCUUAAUUAAUUGAAUUUAUAAAUGAACCUGUAAUUUGAGGACCGUACACCUUUACCACCAUUGUUGUUGCUUACGCUAAUCUCUUAAUUAUUUCUCACUAAAAGUCAGUGAGUGUGUGCACGGUUCAUAGGAGUUGCGUAUCCGUUUAAUAUAUAGUGCCAUUGUGGAGUUUUUCUUAAUAUUUAUAUAUUAAUUUCCAAUCAGUGAUUGGUGAUGUGAUUUAUAGAUUUAAUGCUGAUGGACCUGAAUUUUGAGUUUUUGUCGAGUACUGAAUAAAUUAGUGAUUGUUAAGAAAGAAAAAUUAAAUAAUAAAUAAAAUAAUGAAUCCUCACUAUUGAUUAGGUGCUCAAACAAAAUUUUAGUUCAGUAUUAAAUCCUAAUCAUGAUUUAUUGAUAGAGAUAAGUAAACCAAUGGUGAUAUGUAACUCUCUUAAUUUAUCUCAUUAAUUAGCCCCUAUUUCUCAACAAAUGCAUUAAUAAGUUUAAAAUAAUUUUUCGCUCUCAACAUACCAAUAUAAUCCCCAAUUUAUCCUUAUUAUCAUUCAUUUCUUUAGAAAUUCCUCAUCUCAAAUUAUGAACCCUCGAUUUUUUUUUUUUAACUUAAUUAAAUUGUUUGUUUCUUAUUUUAGAAUAACCUUGAAGAGAUGAAGAAGAAAGGAAACCUUGCAGCUCAUUGCAAAUGAGUUAUGAAUUAUCACAUAUUUUAUAACUGUACUUGCUUCUCUAUGUUAAUCCAGCAUAACAUACUGAAGUGAAAGAUUGAAGCGAAAGAACCUAAAGGCCGCUGUAAAGAAGACAACUGGUGGAGAAGGAGAUGAAGAGGAUGGGGAUUAAACAACUGGCUUGUACCAAUCCUUGACCAAUUCCAAUCAAGAUUUUUGCAUUGCCAUCAUCUUUCUAUUGCUAUUUUAUCUUUUUUUUUUUAAACAUGUUAAAACAUUCUUAUAAAAGUAGCAGUGAGUGAGUUAAAAGAAAAAAAAUUACCAUUAUUGGAAAAGGGAUAAUCGUUGUCAUAUAUAGUUUCAGUUAAAUAAAUUACAGGUUGAACGGUUUAAAAAAUUAAACACUGAUUGUAAAAGUGUGGUGCAAAUAAAACGUGAAACCCAUUUAUGUUUUUCAGUAAUUCCACGUAAGGACAAAAUGAGACAAAAUUCUCUGUGCACGUCUCUCAUUUCUUUUCUUUCACGUGGCUGUAUAUGCUUUUUGUCUUGAGACACUUUUCUUAAUUUUUCUCACAUCCACACCUCUUUUGCUUUUGAUUUUGCUUUCCCUGCGUCUUUUCAUUCUUUUUGUUUUGUUUUCUCUGCAUGGCCUCUAGUCCUUUGCUCCUUUUUUUUUUUUUUUUUCUAUAUAUCUAUUCCAAUUCUUUUGCCUUUGCCAUGUAAAAAUUGACCAUCAUGAUAAGUGAGAAAAUGGACAUUAAACCUGCUGGGACCAUCUCAUUUUCAAAACUACAAUAGAACAGCGCAAUGAUUUACAAGAUAAUACCAGAAAGCAAUCUCGAUGCAACAAUCUAAAAUCCACACACCGAAAUUCAACUCCAAAUUCAUCUUCUAAAAUUCAUUCAUGCGAUUAAGUUUGGGCACGGAUAGGGUUGGGUUGGGCUGAUAAUCAACUCGAUCCAAUUCGCUUAUAAAACGGGUUAAAAAAAUUCAACUCAACCCAACCUAUUAUAUUUUUCAACCCAACCUGUAGAAUUGCGCAUUGAGUCGGGUUGGGUUGAUUGGAUUGGACUUUUAAAAAAGUCUAUUUUUAUAGUGUGAACAAAAAUAAACUAAUUAAAUGAAAAAAAUUUAAAAACAUAAAUACUAAAAUCCUUAUAACAAAUUCAACAUUUCAAAGUUUAAGAAUCAAAUUAGGGAAAUUAAUAUUACACCACCGCUCUUUUAUCUUAUGUUCAACCACCACAAAAUUUUAACAUGUUCUCUGCACCACUUUUCUUUUUAAAUUUUUAUCAACUAGUCACUUUUGAACUAACACCGUUAAAUAAUUUAAAUGAAAUGAUAAUUUUAUCCCUAAAUAAAUUAAAAGACCAUUUUAUUUUAUAAAAACUUUAAAAAAUAAGAAAAUUAUAAUUAUAAAAAUACUCUUAAAUUUAAUAAAAAUAAAUCCCAAACAGAGGUGCUCAUUUGAUUUUUAUUUAAUUUAGAUUUUACAAAAUUUUAAUAAUUAUUUUUAUUAAAACUUUUUAAUUUUGCAAAAUUUUAAUAAAAAUGACUGAAUUUAUUUAUUAAAAAUUAUAAUUUUUCAAAAUUUUAUUAAAAUAACUAAAUUUAUUUAUUAAAAAAAUCCCAAAAUUUUAAUAAUUCAGGGAUUUUUAUUAAAUCCCAAAAUUUUGCAAUUAUUUUUAUAAGAGAAACUAUCAUUCGUAUACCCUAUAGUUGCUCUAUUAUAAACAAUACUACAACACUUUGAGGGUGUAUUAAUCAUUCACCCUAAGUUGACAAAAUGUAUCUGUCGUCCACCAAAUUGUUACUUGCCGUUUAAAUAGGAUGAUGCCAAUAGGGUAAUUUGGUCUUUUCAUAUGAUACAAGUGAUAAUUUAAGGGUAUAAAAGUGAUAAUUUUCCUUUACUUUAAUUUAAGUUUCAAGGGUAAAAUCGUCAAUUCGCUAUAAUUCCGUUAACUUUCAAACAACAACUAACGGUUUGAUGGUCGGCAGAUAGCUUUUGUCAAUUUAGGGUGGACGAUUGAUACACCCUCAAAGUAUUGUAAUAUUUUUUAUAACAGAGCAACUAUAGGGUAUAUAGUUGAUAAUUUUCCUUUUUAUAAUUAUAAUUUUUAUUUAGAUUUUUAUUAACAAUAAAAAUUCUAAUUUUGGUAUUUAUUUUUAUUAAACUUAGGGGUAUUUUUAUAAUUAUAAUUUUUUUAUUUUUCAAAACGUUUAUAAGAUAAAAUAUCUUUUAAUUUAUUUAGGGUAAAAUUGUCAUUUCAUUUAAAUUAUUUAUCGGUGUUAGUUAAAAAAUAGCUAAUCAAUACAAAUUUAAAAAGAAAGAUGGUGUAAAAAACAUGUUAGAAUUUUGUGGUGGUUGGAUAAACAUAAAGCAAAAGAGAGGUGGUGUAAUGAUAAUUUCCCAUCAAAUUAUUAGUAGUACAUAACUAAUGAAAAAAAUCCAUAAAUUUAAAGUCUUUUUUAAUACAAAACAUCAAAGUCUAAGAAGUGAGACCAGUGAAUAAGAGAAAAAACGAACAUGACUUGUUAAUACUAAAAAUAUUACUGCAGAACAAUGCUCAGCAGAUAUUUGUCAAAAAACCUUUUCCCAAAGAUAGUAAUAAUUAUUAUUAUUAUAUUCAUGUUAAUCCGAUUGAGCUUGACACCAUCAUAACAACCAAAAAAUUGACCAACUUUUAUCAAUAAAAAAAUAUUAUAAAGCACCAAAUCAAAUGGACUAAACCUUUUAAUAAUAAAAAAAUUUGAUCAACUUCUUUCAAAACAAUAUUAAAUUAGUAAAUUAGAAAGAAGAAAAAACUUGUGCAUGAGACAAUGUGCAGUUGGGCAGCUUUUCAAGAAAGCUUGUGAGUUGUGAUGUUGUUGUGUUCUAUGCACAAGCAGAUGAGCAACUGCUUUUUAAACAAGAGAAUUUGAGUUUAGGGUUCUAUAAUUAAGAAAGUUGCUAAGAUGCAUUUUAUAUUUAUUUUUUUAAUUUUUAAUUUUUUAUAUAUACGGGUUGACAGGUUGGGUUGGGUUAAAAUUUUCAACCCGACACAACCCACAAUGUUUGGGGGUUUGGAAUUUAAUAACUCAACCCAACCCAUAUAUUUUAUCAACCCAACCCAACCCAACCCAACCUACAAAAAAAAUCAUACAGGUCGGGUCGGUUUCACGGUUGGGCAGGUUGGUGCCCACCCCUACAUGCAAUACCUAAUUUUUACUCUCAUUUCGUACAGAAUCAUAAUAGCAUUAAAUUACCCAUUGGCGCGGCUAAGUAUCGAUGGGUGACGAUGAAUGUUGGGGUUGAUAGGCUAUUAGUAGUAACGAAUUGUGGCGACCGAUGGUUGUUAGGGUUUUCAUAUUUCUUUUAUCCAUUAUGGGAAAUGACUGUAGGGGUGGGCAAAAUAUCUGACCCAACUCGAUUAAAAAAAUGUCGGGUUUUGAUCGAAUCAAGUUGUGAAUAAAACCCGAUUAGAUGCAUUUGUGUUAACCCGAUGGGAUCAUGAUCGAAUCAAGUUCACCCGAUCGGAACCUGAUUCAAUCCGAAAACCCGAUCUGGUUGACACAAAAUUAAAAAAAAAAAAUCAGAAAUAACAAAAUUAAAAAACCAAAACUAAUUGCUAAACAAAUAAACUCCAAAUCCUAAACACACACACACACGAUCUACACACAGUCAUGCACAACCAUUACACGAACAAACACCGAAACACAGUCACAAAAACAGUCAAACACACACAAAGUUUAUGCCCACACCCACCCACAGGCCACAACCUCCCUCUCUCGCAUCCCAUUAUCAACGGCAAUAAGUGACACUCACGCAGCCCACACCCACAGCCAAACAAACGAAACAAAAUCAUGAUUCACAAACAGUCAAACACACAAACAAAGUUCACAGAGCAAGCUGGAUCCAGCCACCAAAUGCAGUAACCACGGAGAGUCAACGCCAACCGAAGCUACUCUGCGAGGAUCAUGACCCGAUCUAUUGAUCUACUGCUACCAAGUAACAGAUCUGCUGCGCCACCUCCAUGCCUCCAAUCCUCCACUAUCACUGGAUCUAAUCCAAGCUCCAUUCGACCCGGCAAGCUCCAUCUAAUCCAGGCUUCAUUUGGCUAUUGACUUUGAGUUUUGGAAGCUUUGGGUUGUUACUAUAACUUGGUAGAGAUGGUAUAUAUACUUUAUAUAUUAUGUGUAUAAGUGAACAACCAAAUGUGUACAUCAUGUGUGUGUAAAUACUUUAUAUCCAAUCCAAUCCGAAUUUAAUUUGAACCUAUAACCCGAUCUGAUCCAAUCCAAAUUAUAUGAGUUUGGAUGAAUUUUUAUCUAAUCCGACCACCUAAAACUUGAUCGAGUUAAUUCGAACCCAACCCGAAUAUGAUUUUGCCCAACCCUAGAAAUGAGGAUCGACGAAAAUUAAAUAUUAUAAUAUUAGAUAAUAUUUUAAUAUUUUUUAAUAUUUAUUUUAGUUUAGGUUUGGGCCCAGGAUAUCCCUAAAC
rnacentral:lncRNA from 1 species